GCGGGGCGGAGCCUGCGUGGUGGUCCGGGGGCGCACGUGGCUCGGGCAGGACAUCCUAGCGACCCGGAGUCACGCGUGGACUCAUUCUCUCGAGAGCAGGUGUGCGGGCGAGACAGGUGGGCCUCGCGCCGGGACGCCGCGUGCGAAGCAAGAGCGGUAGUUUCCUCCGUGGUUCUUGGAACAGUUUUGCGUCCGCGCCCAUAUGAGCUUUGCGCCUUUCCCGCGUGCCUUGUGCACCUGUCCCCUGCCCCCGGUAGACUUAAACCACACACAUAUUCGAAAACAAAAUGAAAAUGCUUCCUCUCCCAGUGUGAGGACAGGAGCUGCGGAGGUGGUUGGUCGGUCCCGCGCCUCGCGGCAGGAACGCACACAGGUAGGCCAAGGCCAGAGGGCCGUGGACCUUGCGUGGAAUCCAGACCCAAGCGGGCGGGGCUGGUACUUGUGCGCGGCUGGAGCACUCAAGAGCCACCCGCCGCGGAAACCUCGCUGUGUGCAACAAUGCAAGCCUUGAGCUGUUUUCCCAAGGUGGCCUCCGGGAAAGGUCUGCAGCUUUUCCCUCGCUGGCCUCCGGAUUCCGGGACAGCCACACCUAGUGGCUUCCUCAGCCUCCUCUGUUUCUCCAAGAUUCAGUCUUCCUUCCUUCCUUCCUUCCUUCCUUCCUUCCUUCCUUCCUUCCUUCCUUCUUUCCUUCCUUCCUUCUCCUUUCUUUCUAAUUUAAAGAGUUACCAGAGGAAACCCAAUAGCAGACCUCCGCCUCUGUUCUGCAGCCUGCCUGUAAGUGCCGCGUGAGCAAGAGGAAAAGGGUGGACGAACAAGCAGCAGUUUCACUUUAAAACAGGAUAGUUUUUCCAGCUCCUAUAUUUUGAGAAAUCCCCAGAAAGCAUUGCCAGCUGUGGUGACGCCUAAUGUUCCCAUGCUUAUGCUCUGGCAUGAAAUAAGAGGUGAGAGCUGGAUAAUGAGGCGAGAGCUCUAACCCUGAAAGGUGUCUGGAAAACACACCACAGGAGCAGUAACCUAGCCUUGCAAUGUCCUGGCCACUAGUGACAUUGUCGGCCACUCUGAUGUCUCCUAGCACCUGCUGAGUGAUGCCCCAGUCAGGUGCAACCAAGGGCAAGACAUGGGGCGGGGGGUCAGAAUUCUGUUUCCGUGGAGCACAAAAACAGGGAAGAUUGCCUUCACCUAGGUGAAGGCCUGUUCAUCCCAUCCCCGGAUAAGGCUUUGGUGACAGUGCCCACUGCUGGACUGUCAACCUGAUGUCAAGGAUUCCUUCUAUCGACAUACUUGGCUGCAUGGUUCACUCCUGUGCUUCUCUAGACCUGCAGGCCUUCUAUGCCUGUACAUUCUGCAGACGUCAUUGUUUUCUUCCCUACCCUCAAAACUCAUGCUUCUUUUCCUGUGUCAGCGAAGAACCUCCCACAUGUAACCUGUUUCCAUCCCUGUGUCCUAUUUGAGCCAUUCCCAUUAGGCUGCACUUUGGUUCACGAUCUCUAACCUGGGUCACUUGCCAGAGCCUGGUGGUGUACCAUUCCCAAAUCCAAGAUUCACUCCCUGCCUUACCCUCUUUAAGCCAUCAUUUGAUGAGUAUUUGUGAAGGCCUUUGACCUCCAAGUCUCUGCAUGUAAGAUUUCAAAUCCAUCAUGCCCCUAGCUCCCUCAUUCCUUUUCUGUGUACUAUGUUAAAAAUAAAUUGAUGUUAAUGUAAUGUUUAUAAGUAUAUGCUGCCCUGAGUUGUUAUGACUGAAGGAUACCAUGUAAAUAAGAAAGAGAAGUCAUUAGAAAUGUGAGACUCAAUCACUCUUUUAGGUUUCUCGUGUUUUUAGAGUCAGGAUUCCUCUAGACCAAUGGUUCUCAACCUUCCUAAUGCUGUGACCCUUUAAUGCAGCACUUCAUGCUGUGCUGGCCCCCAACCAUGAAAUUAUUUCACUGCUGCUUCAUAACUGUAAUUUUGCUACUGUUAUGAAUCAUAAUAUAGAUAUCUGAUAUACAACCUCUGUGAAAGUGUCAUUGGACCCCUGAAGGGGUCUUGACCCAUAGGUUGAGAACUGCUGUUCUAGGGGCAGGUGACAGCACCAUUUCAAACUGACUUAAAUUUUUACUUGGUCGAUGCCAAAUGCCUAGGGUUGUCUGGCCACUUAAGGUCCAGCACAGUUGGAGCUGUGACUCAGAUACUAGGCUCUUUUCUCUAGCUUUGGCUGCAUGUUCAGACAGAUUGUUUUAAUAUGAUAUAAAUCUUUAAAUGGUAUUAUCACCUGAGUCUGAGGAAGAAACAGCCCCCUUUUGCCAAUACUUGCAGUUAAAGUCUCCGAACCAUUCUUCCAUGGGACAAUUUGAGUCACUUGCUAGUUAUCCCUGAUGCUUUUUUGAGGUCUAGCCUUAAAGCUAAAAUGUACAUCACAUGGUAGAACCAAAUAAAUAUCAAUAUUUGAUUGUAACAUUCUAUCUUUUCAAAACUCUAUUGGAAUUAGUUUUUAUCUUUUCAUUUUUUUAGGUUUCCAGAAGAUAGAUACCUAAAAUUCCUUAACAUUCAUCAAAUGAUAGGAACAAAUAAAAAAUUGAGUUGGAGCAAUAAAAAGAGUUGGUAGUUUUUGAAAUGUGCAUCUGUGGGCUUUAACUUGUUCCGGCCUUCUAGUAUAAGGUGUUACAAAACUGCUUCAGUGAGGCUUGUAAAUUAAUGUGGUAGAAAGAUUUAGUGAGCUACAGAUUACCCAUAAUGAAUUUGAGCUGCCUUUGUUAUCCUUUACUCUGGCUUUAAGCAUAACCUUGCGUUUUGGUGGAGCUCAAAGGCAAUUUCCUCUUGCUGUGUUCUGAAUUUCCAUCUGCAGUGAGAAGGAAGUACACCACCAGCCUCCACAGGCAUUAUGAUCCUGCUCCUGGCAGCCGGUGGGUGCUCCCCUGCUCCUGGAAGCCAUGCUUCCCUGCCCCUCCACCCCCCAAGGGGAGAGAACAGCCUGGGAAUGAGAGGGUACAUCCAGGAAAGGCAGUAUUUUCUCACAGGACUGGAUCCUUUUGUUAAAUCAAAAUGGAUUCUCCUCACCAAACAGGAUUUCAUCUCUGUAAUCUUGGUUCAAAGGCCCAGCCGGUGCUGAUACCUGGGACUUGGUUCAUUUCUUCUUAAAGUAAAAGGGAAGGACUGCUUUAUUCUGAAGAGUGUUACAUUUAUGGUAUCAAAGGCCAUUUCAAUUCAAUGCCUGGAAGACAGACAGCCUACAAACUGUGGGUCUGAUAAUAAGUUAUUCCAGUCAAAUGGUCUUUCAGCUAUCAUCAAAGCCUGUCUUCCUGUUGCCUGGUCAGACUCAAGUUGAUGGAACAUUGUUGCUUUCCAGUCCUAAAGGUUAUGCUUCGAAAUUAACUUCAUAAUUGGACAACUUUAAUAAAACUGAGCCUUUUGUUUAGUGAAGACCAGGUUUGCAACAUUUUGCUUUCUAAUUUUUUAUUUAAAAAAAAAAACAAAGGAUACAUAUCAAUUGCUCUUGGCUCUUGUACCAGGUUCUACAUUUUCUUACCAUGAUCAGAAAGAAAGACUGUUUUCCAAAUUCAAAGAUACAACACAGUUUUCAGAAUGAAGCCUUAAGUAUGCUGUAGCAUGUGCAGGUAGGAGUUUCAUGUGAAGAUUUUCUUCAAGGUCAAAGGAAAAAACAUAAUGGGAUCCUGCAGACCUGUGUGUGUGUGUGUGUGUGUGUGUGUGUGUGUGUGUGUGUGUGUCUGUGUGUCUGUGUGUCUGUGUGUCUGUGUGUGUCUGUGUGUGUGUGUGUGUGUGUGUGUGUGUGUGUGUGUGUGUGUGUUUAUGCAUAUGCAACCUCAAACAUUAGUUGGGUUUUUUCCCAAGAAGUAAUUAUGUGCUGUUUCCCAUACUUGCUUUUGGAGACAAAUGAACGUUUAGCCAAUUCAGCAGACAUUCAUGCAGUGACAACAGUGUGUGAAAUCGGGCCUCUGCUGCACAAUAGCCAGCAGUGUACACCAUUUCUCACUUUUACCUCUAGCUCUGCUAAGCAGGCUUCCUGAAAAUGGCAGCUUUGACUCUUCCUUCUCUGUGUUUACCUUUAUCCUGUAAUCUGAAGGUAGAUAAAACCUACACACACAACCUGCACACACAAAGUUAAUGAAUGAGAGAACUUCAAACAAAUGAUUAGAUGGUAUACUUCAAAUUGAAUGUGUGAGAGAGCUGUUGGGUAUUGUCACUUCGGGUGGCUGGAUUGCCAUUUUGGAAGAGUUAUCUCCAGUAGGGCCUUGGGUAAAUCCCUGCACUUUAUGUUUGUUUAUUUACAGUUAGAUGAAGAGCCCCCAUGGCUCAGAAUGCUCUCAGAUGCGCCUUUGAGAAGGCUGCUAACCAGAGAGAUUGUUGAACUUGAAAACAAUUGAGUAGAUCUUUAAGGAUGGAGAAUGCAGAAACAUGAAGAUAGAGACUGUAUGUUUUUAAAAACUCCUCUCCAAAUGGUAUUUCCUAGAAGACUUAUUGCAGAUUAAGUCAGAGGCCAUUGCUCCGUUUUCACCCAAGGUCAGACUUCAGUGACAGCUGCAUAAGCAACCAAUUCCCUGUGUGUGCUCCCCUACACUGAGCCACCCUUCCUUGCCCUGCUCUUGCCAUGGCAGCUGACCUCUUAACUUUCUGUUGGAUCUGGCUCAUGAAAGAUACCACUAGAGAUUGGAGAUGGGUGGGAAAGAAGCUGGGGUAUCUGCUUGCACUCUUUCUAGUGCAGCCAGAGCGUGUGGGGGAAAAUAAUCCUGGAAGAUCCUGCUGUGAUGUCUCCCUUGAAUAAUCAGCCCUAUCUCUGCUCCAGAACCAGUGUGCUCUGGGAAUACUCUUCCAUCUUCUGCCCAAGGCCAGGAGGUCUGUUAGUCUGUGGGUUCUCAGCAUCUGCUAAUGAACUCUGACCCUGCCAACACCUGUUUGGUAAAAUCUCUCCGUUUUAUAUGAUUUGAGUUCCUUUCUUUCUAUGAUCACACAAACCUGCAUCAGCAUAAAACCUUGUGUGCUGAGAACUAAUACAUCUAACAUACUUUAUUCUUUUGUAGGACCAUUAGUUGUCUAAUUAUAGAAAAUUUGGCCAUGAAUUAAAUGCUGACUUAAUACAAAUUUAAAUUAGCUGCAUGCCAUUACUAAAGCCAUAUACUUUGAAUUAACAAACUAAGCUUAUACAGUUUUUAAAAAUAUUACAGUGAAAAUAUUUAAAAAUAUUUUUUAAAUUGGCCAGUACUAAAUCGCGUAGUAAAGCAUGUAUGUCCUCACAGCACAGACAGGUAUUAAUGUCUUGGGAAGUCAUAAAGCUAUCUUGAGUAUUUGAAUUAUGAAGACCUUGCCAAAAUAUCUUCAUUGUUGGAAAAGCAUAACAAUUCUUGUUCAGUUUUUAAGCUUGUAAACUUUUAUCUGUGCCUAGUUUAAACAACUAAGGAUUUUAUUGUUAUUACAUAAAAUAGGUGAUGAUUUAUAUUUUAAAGUAACAGAUUGGAAGCAAGCCACCACACUAUAUUUCAAUAUUUAGAUACUUAUGAGGGAAUCCUUUUCAUCAGUCAUUUAACUUAACUGUGCAUUUUAUAACUACUGCUUACAUAGCUUGAGGUUGAUUUUUGCCAAAAUCGAAAACACAAAACCUUUGGAAAGUAACCUUUGACAAAUGAACUAUCUGAACACAGCCACAAAAGCUACUACAAAUUCAGUGACAACACUACUCAGCUCCUGUUCCCAGACUAGAAGAACAAGCUGUCUGAAUUCCUAAUAUUGUCUUGUAAUGACUGUAAAUAAGUAUGGAUGUGUCACAACUUAUCUCAUUUUCAUGCCAGAUUAAAAUAUUUCCUGAAUGUUUUUCUAACCUACUCAAUUACUAUGAAAUUGGUUCCGCCAAUAUGUAAUGCACCAUUAUCAAGAUGUUAGGGUUGUACUGAGACAAGGUUUCUAUAGCCUUUUUAGGCAAAACCAAAACUUUUGGGUUCCUGAACCUGCAUUCUUACUGAUGGCUCUGGAGUGUACAUCGUCAGAGUGCCCUGCAUAGUGGCUUCUCUGUCAUGAUUCCAGAAGCAGGAUGUGAGAAAGAGCAGUCUCCUUCUUGUGCCCACUAGGCUGGAUCUGAUCAGCUGUCACCUCUCUGCAAUGAGUAGCAAAUAUUUACCCAGGAGAUUGACUGUAAAGAGGGAAUGAAAGAAUCUACAUUGUCAGCUAGCCAUAGCUAUGAGCUGUCCCCCUACCCACCCCAGAACCCCUGUUCAUCCCCAUUGUCCCAUGCUUGCUCCAUACCUCCUAAAGCCAGGUGAGUUGAAAUCACUCUUGACCAGAUUUUCUUCUUCUCUUUGAAAGUCCAGACAAUGUCUUUCUUUAGUAUUAAUAGAUAGAAAGUCUUUGAAUGUCAAAGACUACCCGUGUACUUAGUAACAAUGUGUACAUAGCUGGCAGUUUCACAAACACUAUAAAUCCUCUUUUUCUGUGUUUAUUCAACCAAUGUGUAUUGACUACCUUUCAUAUAACAUAUUAUUUACUGUGAGGACGGGACAUUUGUUAGUAAACAAACCCAGCAUAUUAGGAAGUAUCUGAUUUUUGUAGCCGUGUUUUCUCCUUGCAUUAUCCCCUGGCAAAAAUAGUAACUUGUUCCUCAUCCUGCACAUCAGACUGACCACCGAAUCUAGGCUGCCACACAAUUAUGACAGCUAUAUUAUUUUUUCAGUUAAAGCAUCCUUUAAGAGAUUUUUUACAAGCCAAGAUUUGGCUGUUUUGUAGAUGACAUUUAAUUUUUUUGCCAUUUCUAACUGAGGGUUUAAUUGGAAAAUCAGCAUUAUAAAUUUUAUGUUGUCAUUUCUAUUUUUAAGUUUAAGCAAUUUCAAGGAUUGUGGUUCUGGCUGCCUGCAAAUUAAAGAUGAAGCUAGUUGUCAUAUUGGGUUUGUACAUUCUGCCAUUUUAGAGUGGUUUCCUGGGCUUUUGUCUAUGGAAAGUAUACUUUUAUAAAUUUGGUUAAGAAUGGAAUGUGGUUCCCUGUUUAAGGUCAGUAACAGAAUGUAUAGAGACUGCUGCUCUGGUUCAGCCUUCCCUCAUCCCUGAUUAUAUUCAGUCAGGGAACCACACCUUGCCUAUCUGACCUUUCAGCUUCCAUAUGAGAUCUCGUGUUCGUUAAGUGUAUGUGAACUUCCAUAUCCCAUUGCCAUGGCCACUUCAUGGUAUUGUUUUCCCUUCUUACAGAUGGACUCUCUUGGCCUUGUCCCCUCCAUGAGUGUGGAAGAGAGGAUUUGACAUUAUGCAUGUAUAAACACAGAGCUUGCCGUAUUGUGCGGGAAGUGUAGUUCUUUAAAUAGAAUAAUCUCCCAAGGAAAUUGCCCACAAUGCUGAGUACACCUUGUAAAAGGUGAGGCUAGAAUCUAGGAUGCAUUCUCAGCAUUGCCCAGAAGCUGAGUGCAAUCUCUGGAGCAGCCAAACCAAAUUUAUAGCAGUUCAUUAGUGUGAGGGAUCAUGGGAACAGCAGAUUGCCAUUAGCAUGGCGGAGACAAAGAGCUCAGACAAGGCUCACAAAAUGGAGCUCUGUGGAGGGUUCUCCCUUAUUCUAUAGAAACCCACGUGCCUGUUUUGAGCCCAGUUUUCUUUAGAGCAUAUGUCUUGCUGAGCAACCAAAAGGAUGUUUAUAUCCUAGUCACUUGGCACAAAGUCUGACACUGCUUCAGGGAGAUUCAUUUCAGACCUAAAGGAUGGAGCUAAAAAAUAGAUGAGGUUUGUUUGGUAGUCACAAGAACUGGCCCUACUGCAAAUUUAGUUUUUCUCUUUUGUUGCUAGAUGGAACUACAUUUUUUUUCUAGAAGAUAAAUAAGGAGGCCUAAAUCAAUUCGGUUACUCUCACUCAUUCCAAAUGAAAACAGGUUUGCUGUUGUCCAAGGAGGUGAGAACUAUUUGGAACUCUUCAUGAUUGGCAUUGCCCACAGAAUUGUUUCAAUUAUAUAAAAUUGCCCUAUGUUCCUGAGACAAUUUCCAAAUGAUUGCCCAUGAAGUCUACUUGAUAUUAAUCAGGGUAACAAGAUGCAUUAAGUACAGUAUUUCUGUUAGUGUUUCUGGAAGAACAUUGGUAGGGUCAGUACCAACAUAGUGAUUAGGAUUAGGAUUGUAUCCUUUAACCAUUUUUUGUAGUUCUGUGUCUGUCCACCCUGCAAACAUCAGCAAAUGUGUGUUUUAAUACUGUUUCCUUAGAUGCCUGAUAGAGAGGGUUUUCUUUUAGUAGUUUUAGAAUUCAUAUAAUGUCCACUAGUAAUAUCUAGGCAGUCUCUAUCCCUUUCAGCCUUGCAAACCACACAUGAGGAUGCUCAUGGAAGUGCCUCUCAGGCCUUUGUUUGCUUUCACCAAUAAAUCAUUCAUAAUUAGAAGAGAUCUUUUCUUCCCAGCACAAACAUCUCUUUGAAAAGCAGCUCUCUUUUGUGGAUGAUGUUUAACGUCUGAGGAACUAGGAUAACCUUAUUUAUGAGCACUGCUCUAACCAAAGCAUUAUUUUGUGGAGUGGACUCAAGGUUACACAUUUUAAGAAAAGCAUCAGAUUAAUUCCACUGGGAAAGUGAUCCUAUUAACAAAAUGUGGAUGCAUUGAAAAGAUACUGUCAGAGCCUACACUGGUACAUAUAUAGAUAUAUGCCUGGAGAGAAUUAAGUAGUAUAUUUGAGAGUUGGCAAAACAGUGCAAUUGCCUACAUUUACAGAGUGCUAGCUACUGAAAACUAGCAUCCCUUCUGCAGACAAAUGCACAGUCACUCAACACAAGUCCUUCAGGUACUUACUAAUACUAGUGUCUGGGUCUGUAAGCAUGGUGAGGCUGAGGUAGUAGUUGCACAAGGCUUUUGGUUUACAGAGAUGGGGUGAUUGUCUGUCUCCUCCCUCUAAAAGCCUAUUUGCUGUCUCUUGCAGCACUGUCCCUCGUGAAAGUAGCCUUGGGUCAGGAUCAAGUCUUAGCUGGCUCUGACUUACCCUUCAAUGUGAAACUUUUUCUUCUAAACAAUGACAUUUAAUUUGAAAUUCUUUGUGUUGUUUUUAGAUGGGGUCUCGCUAUAUAGCCCUGGCUGUCCUGGAACUCACUCUGUAGACCAAGCUGGCCUUAAACUCAUAGAGAUCUUCCUGCCUCUGCCUCCUGAGUGCUGGUACUAAAGGUGUAUGUUGCUACACCCAGCUUAAUUUGAAAAUUCUUAAAGGUCAUAAAUCGUUCUGUUUUCUUCUCGUUUGUCCCUAAAUGGUGUACCAUUAUAUACCACUGCCAGAGACAGAUUAUUGGCGUGUUUGUACCUUACAGUCAUUUCUACAGCUGUGGCAUGACAGCAGUUACAAUUGUGGGGGAGGGCAGGGUGGCCUGGGGGGAUGGCUCCGUUGGCAAAUCGCCAACCUUGCAAGCAAAAAGAGCUGAGUUCAAAUCCCAAAACACAGGUUCAAAAUCAAGCAAGCAAACAAAAAACAACCAGGCUUGGAGAUACACAUUGAGGAGGUGGAGACAGUUGGGUCCCUGAAACUUGCUGGCCAGACAACCUACAAUACUUGGAAAGUUCCAAGUACACUCACUCUCUCUCUCUCUCUCUCUCUCUCUCUCUCUCUCUCUCUCUCUCUCUCUCUCUCUCUCUCUCUCUCCAGGGAUGCACAGGAAAAAAAAGAAGGCAGAGGAAUAAACUAAAAGCAGUGAUAUGACAUUUUUGCCAUCUGACAUUUUGGUAGCUGAGGUGAUGUGUUACUAAUCUUGCACUACUUUUAAUAUCUCAGCUUUAAUCUCUUCCUGCCUGAAGACAGAAUCCAGAAUGCUUUGAUCUGGCCACAUGUAAUGAGAGGGAAUUGCUUUUCUAGUAGUUAAAACCUUCCUGUUUUCACGUGGAGGAAGUCUGCUUACUUCAUACCAGGCUAAAUGGUAGUGCCUAGUGCUGGGUAUGAUAAUUUAUUAAUACACCCCUGUGUAAGGCAUAUUAAUAGCAAAAUGAGAAAUAACUUCAUUAAACUGAAACUUGUUGUCUCUCUCAAUGUGCAAAGUGGACAGCUUUCUCAACUGGAGAUUUAGCAUGGUUUGACAAAUUAGUAAGUUUGUGGAUCAUCUCUGUUUUCCUGCCAUUUUAAAGAUUUAGCAUCUCUAAUUUUUAAGUUUCCUUUUGUUGAGAUGCACUACUGUUUUUUCCCUGUCGUUUAACAGAAUGCUCUCCAUUGCUCCUCCUCUUUACCCACCACUACUUUUGUGCCUUAUUUUCGAUAGCGACAAAGUUCUGAAUAUGACAAUUUUUGAGAUACCACCCCCAAAAGAGUUUAUUUUAUAAAUUCCAACUUCAUCUUCCUAAAAGCAUUCCAAGAAUGAGUUGUGUUUUAAAAGUGUUCUAUGACCAUUGUACACACAGACGUGAAUGAUACACCAGAUGCUUGUAAAAUUGCUUUAAGUAUGUUUUAUCUCUUGUUUUGUUUUUAAAAAUUCAUCUGGAGCCAGGAAUGUUGCACUCUCAUUCCAAGAACUUGGAAGACUGAGGCAGGUGGAUGACAAGUUUGAAGGCAGCCUGUGCUACACAAACCCUAUCUUGGGAACUCAAGAACUAGAAAUGUAGCUCAGUGGUAGCCUGCUGGCCUCACAUGCAGAAGGCCUUAGGUUUGGUCAGCCACCAAAGCAAACAAAACACAUUUAUCCCAUUUUCAUGUGCUGGCAAGCACCUUAGCCUAGAAGGAUGUCCCUGGGAAGCAACCAUAGUGAGAAUACUUCCCCCCUCAUGUGUUUAUGUGUGUAGUGUGUAUGCAUAUAUGUGUGAAUGUUUUCAUGCGUGUGCACAGGUACAUGUGUGUGGAGACCCAAGGUUGAUGGUGGGAAUCUUUGUUUAUCAUUUUCAACCUUAUUCAUUGAGACAGAAUCUCAUUUAAAACCAGAGCUCACCAAUAUGGCUGGUCUGCCUAGUCAGCUUGCUCUGGGGAGCCUAUCACUAUCUUCCAGGAACUGGCAUUACAGGUGAGCCACCACUUCCACGUGGCACUUACACGGGCUCUGGAGAUCUGAACUCCAGUCCUCAUACUUGAAGGGCAGGUAUUUUAAGUUCUAUGAGUAUACUUUUUCACAAUAGUUAGUGUCAUCACUUUCUUGUCUUUGUUUCAUUUCUAGCUUAUGUCACUAUUUGUUUGCCUAUACAAGUCGCUUAUUUAGUGAACUAAUUGUAAGAGGAAAAGAAAAUGGCAAAAGUGUCUUUGUGUUUUUAAACCACUAUUUGAAAAUGUAUCUAAAGUAAUACUGCUUUUCUCCCACUCAGUGUCUCUUUGCCGUACAAAGUUGAUUUUUCUAUGAAUUCUGUACAAACAGACACAAAAUUGUAGUGUCUUUUGGAUUUAAUAUACCUUGAAAAUGCACAUCUGUUCUGCAGCCAGCACACCAGUUUUAGCUUCACCAAUUUGGGCUUCUCUACGGAAUAUAAAGGAAACUUUGUCAACCAAGAAAAUCUGGAAUCUGGUGAUUCAGAUGCCAUUAGAAACAAUAAUUGAGAGCUAGAACUAAAUGUUAGGCCUCAUGGCAGCUUGCCAUUCACUAAGCAAGUGUUCCUAAUCAGAUUGAGUAUUCCCUAUGUGAGCAGAGGGAAGCGACCAUGUUUACAUUGAUAAAACUGAGUUAAAGCUAUCCAAAGAGGCUCCAGACUCUUGCAGCCAGCAGAGAUUUCUUCAGUGUGUUAAGUACCCACACAAUAUUCUAUAUUUUACUUACAGAUUUUGGUAGUUAAUGCAAUAAGUACCAUGCUUAAUUCUGUACAUGCAUUAUUUCAAUUAAUUGUAGCAAUAAUCUUAUGAACUAAGUGUAUUUAUCUCAUUUUGCAGAUGAGGAAAUGAAGAACAAAUAGUUUGUCUUGCAUCCCAUGGGAUGUGUUGAGUAGACAUUCUAGUGUGUUCUGACUUUGGAGGCUGUAUUUGUGGCUAGUCACAACACACAAGCCCAGCUGUGCCCACAUAAGCCUUUCCUGCCAACCUCACAAUACACUUAGGAUGGGUUAUAUUAUCUCUACUGCCAAUGGCAAAACUAAGCUCUAGAGGCUUCCAGGGGCCCACCCAAAGUUGUAGUCUAGUGAGCAGGGCACUAGGACCAUCUGGUCUUGACAGUACAUGGAGAAGUCCUUCUUCCCAACCAAUAACACCACUGUUUUCUUAUGGCCUGGAGGUGCUGUCUCUGGUUUGGAGUGAGCACUCCCUGGAUCUUCUUGGUCAGUGUCUUCUCUUCACCAUGUACCACUGCAGCCGAGGUGGACUAUAAUGCUUCCAUACAUGGCCUGUCUUUCUUCCCAUUCCCACCUUAGGCUACAAUAGUGAGGGCUGGCGAGGUGGAAAACAAAGGGUUUGUCUUGUUCAUCAUUACCUUCCCCUUUUGUGACCUCUGUACAUCAAGCACACGCCUUCCAGACCCUUUAGUUCAUUAGUACCUUGUGUUCUGAAGUGCCUCCCCACCAUAAAAAUAGAAAAUGAUCCGUGAGUCAUUUACACUUUAGCUUGAAUGUGCUUUCGUGACUUUCCCAAGGCUAUUUGUGCUUAACUCCUUUCUUCCAACUGCAGAGUGAAGGUCUCUGGACUACCCUGGCUCCUUAGACAAGAAGAAUGAGCUAGAAAUCAUUGGCCUACACGUCGGACCACUGGAGACCCAUUGCCUAUAAAUGUUUGCACUGCAGUUGAUAUAGACCUGGCAUCCAGAGCAUCCUUUGCUGAGCAGUGGACUCUCAGCCUCCCUCUCCCUCUCUGUUUAAGUCAGGUGGAUUCUUGUUCUUCUCUUUCCAAUUUUUCUGAGAACAUUUUUCAUCUUUCUAGUGAUCACUUCUUGGAUCACAUUUUUCCUGUGUCCUGUAGAGUGGGGAUCUGUCUUUCCCCAGGAACAGCUAUAGGCUUAAAGUAUAGCCCUUCUGCCAUCUGCAACCACCUGGUACUCAGAAAAUCCAGAUGUGACUGCCUGACACUCCCACUAAGAUUCAUAUAGUUGGUCAGUGUGUGUGUGUGUGUGUGUGUGUGUGUGUGUGUGUGUGUGUGUGUGUGUGUGUGUGUGUGUGUGUGUUUGCAUGCUCCAUGAAUGUGGAGUAGGAAGCAUUUGUGAUAUCUGUAUUAGUUAACUUUCUCAGUUGCUGGGACAAAAUGUCUGACAUAAACAACUAAAGGAGCAAGGAUUUGCUUAGCUCAUAGCUUCAAAGGUUUCAGUCUGCCAGGCACAGAGAGCAUGGGGAACAAUGGCAUCAUAGUGAACAAAAGUCAGAGAGAGGAAGAGACAAAGAUGUACCCCUAAUUAUCCACUUCUUAUAGGCUCUGUCUCCUACCUGCAAGAUUAGUGACAUCAUCUGGGGACCAAACAUCUAACACAUGCCUAAUUGUGAGAAAAGGGUGAGCUGUGUGGCCUGUGCAGACACAGUGUCAAGAAUCUUCCCAGGCCGUCUGGUGAUGGCGCACGCCUUUAAUCCCAGCACUCGGGAGGCAGAGGAAGGCAGAUCUCUGUGAGUUCGAGACCAACCUGGUCUACAAGAGCUAGUUCCAGGACAGCCUCCAAAGCCACAGAAAAAGCCCUGUCUCGAAAAACAAAACAACAACAAAAAAUAAAAUAAAUAAUAAUAAUAAUAAUAAUAAUAAUAAUAAUAAUAAUAAAGAAUCUUCCCAAAUCUUGGUGCAGAAAUCUUCCUGUCUCCAUCUGGUCUUACCCGUGUGGCCUCCUGUUGUCACUCCACCUCUCCUUAUUAGUGCCUACCCUUAUAAAGGGGGCAGAUAUAAGAACAGUCAUUAAAUAAACUGCCCCAUGCCAUUAACAAAAGUCUAAGGCCCACGAAGGACCCAAUGACUCGUGUGUCGUAACUCUGAGUCCUUUCGAAGUACUUAGUUACUUGUGCUUGAGAGAUGAAAGCUUGGGCACAUUUCACCAUUUUCUUCUGGGGCAUAAUGUGUUCUUCACAGAGUAUAGACAUCAGCUAUUUUCCCAUAAACUAGUAGCAUUACAAUAUCUCAUGAAAAAUCUAGAUAAAAGUUUUUUGUUUGUUUUUCCUAUUUAAAAUGACAUUAAUUCUUAUUUUUAAAUAGCAGAUAAUCUAAAAAGUCCAAAGAGUAAGAGUGUGCCCACUUCCACUCCUACCCCCCAACAUUAGAAUUGUGGCAGAAAAAAAAUUGUUUUGAUCCAUGUGACCACCUGCUGUCAUACUGUGUCCUUGUGGUGCUCAGGUAGGUGCUGUCUCUCCAUUUUUUUUUUUUUUUUGAAAUAGGUUCUUGAUAUGCAUCAGAGGCUGUCCUUGACUCGUUUGCCUCAGACCCUUGAGUGCUGGCAUUACAGGUAUGUACCCCCAUGCUUACCUCCUGCUUGCAUUUUUUUUUAGACAGUAUCUCACUGUGCUGUCCAGGCUAGCCUAGAAUUCACUGUCUUUCUACCCCACCUCAGUCUUCUAAUUAGCUAGGAUUGCAAGCACAGAUGCCACACCCAGACUGAGAUCUUGAAACAGUUUGUAUUCGGCUGCUCUUGCUAAGUCCAAGCCAGCUUUGGGCGAUCCGGCAGUGCAGAAGCUACAUCUCACUGAAAACAAAACUAUUUAUAAAGUGCAAGCCUGGGCUGUGUCCUUGGCAGCCAAGCCAAGGACCUUUUUCUUAAGCACCUUCUGUCCCUGUAAGUGUUAAUUAUACACAUACAGCUCUCUUGCCAACAUAGGAAUUUGGUUUGUUAUGUUAGAAAGCAUUUAGAUGAAAGAAUCUACUGGUAUACUUAAAAUUGUUAGUGUGGCUUCAGUCAUAGCAUUUGUAGAUAUCAAUUGCUUAUAUAUUUUUAUUAGAAGGAGGUGUCCAAGAAAUGAGUGUGAUUGACACUUACCCAGAACAUGAGAAUCACAUGUUUCCUGUAUCAUCUCAAGCAUAUGGGGAUUCCCAUGUGGGUCUGCCAAACUUCAGAAGCUACUCUGCCCUGCAGUAGGAUCAGCUUGGGCCUUGUUGGUUCUCUUCACACAGUGUCACUGCCCCUCCUUGUGGCCUGAUUACUGAACACAGCACAGUAGGUGAGCAGGUUCUGGGCUCCUAGGCUCGGCAGACUCACUGUUGGCAAGCAAGGAAAUGGUGCUGCCAGGAACCAGUAGCCCACUGGGCUGAACUUACUUAGCUCUCUUACAAGAUCUUAGUUCUCUGUGAGGACACUAGUAUUCCAUUGGGCUGAGUUCUUAGAUCUCUCUACAUCAUCCUAACCCUCCUCUGCACUGUGAGAAAGUAUCAGCUCUUCCACCCUCUUCACUUAGAAGAAUCUGUGUUUCUGAAGUGGAGCUUCCCUGAGGUUUUGUCUCUGGACCACUUUGUCUUACACCUCUCUGUAGGAGUGCCUUAGUUGGCACCAGAACAGCUGUUUUGCAGCAUUUACCUAUGUCUUUCUUCCCUACCAAACUGUGAGAUCCAUGAGGGCAGCAACCAGACCCAUUGUAUUUAGAUAUAUUUUAUUCGCCAUUGUGUCAACACUUUACAAAUAUUGUAUGAUAAAUAUUUUUAAUGCAGGAAUAAAGUUUGUAUGAGCUGCUUUUAAGUUUAUAUGAGUGUUUCCACAUUUCUUACCUGUAUUAGUAACUUUUAUGCCUGUAAACAACAUACCUGACAAAGGCAAUUUAAGGAAGACUAAUUUGACUUAGGUUUGAAGGUACAGUCUAUCAUGGAGAAGUACUCAUGGCCACAGGACCAUGAGAUAUCUGGUCACAUUGCAUCCAUAGUCAAGAAGCAAAGAGAUGAACACCAGUGCCCAUGCUUUCUCCCUUUCAGUCUGGGACUUGAGACUAUGGAAUAGUGUCACCCACAUACAAGGUGAGUCCUCCCUUCUUAGUUAAAUCUUCAUAGAAACCUCCAGGAGUAUUUUUAUGGUAUUGCUGAAUUCAGUCAGGCUGACAAUGAAGAUUAAACAUCACACUAUGUAAGGUUGUUUUUGUUACUGUUGUGAAAUUUGCUGAAUUCUACCUUUAAACAAAUUUUAUACACGCAUGUAAAUUUCUGCCAGGAGUAUCCCCUUACUCAGCCUCCCUCAAAUGUCAAGCUUUGACUUGUACACUUCGGCCUCCAUUUCCCAGCAGCCAACUCAAGUAUGCAUGACCCUUCCCUCAUUGUGCACCUUACUCCCACUUUCUAAUUUCAUCUGUAAAUACUCUAGUCUUUAGCUUUCUAGCAAAAUAACUCAAAAAAAAAAAACAAAAAAACAAAAAACUAAGCCAGACCUGGUCGCAUGGGCCUAUAAUUCCAGCUGCCCAGGAAGCUGAAGCAGGACAGUUGGAAGCUCAAGAUUUACUUGGGCUAUAGAGCAAGUUCAAAUUUGGCCUGGCCCCUUAGCAAGACCCUGUCUCAAAAAGAAAAUUAGUCAAGAGGCUGCAGUUUAGCUCAGUGGUGGGGUGCUAACCUAGCAGGCAGUAAGCUCAACCUCAGGACCACAAAAAGCAGAAACCAUAAUCUUGUCAUCAUUCCGUAAAGCAUUAUCUCGGAAGACACUGGGGGAAGCUGAGCAUGACUCAGCAUCACUUGGGGGAGGAGCUGCACAUGACUCAGCUUCACUGGGAAUCAUCUCAGCUCAGUGUUUCUGUCUUCCAGAUUAACCCUUACCUAAUGACUUGUUGUCUGUUUGUCUGAGUUGGAAUCUAAAAAGGCCUGGAUAUUAAUUACCAUGUUUCCUAAGUGACUCUCUCUGUCCCCAUCCAAGUAUGGACAAGCCUGUCCCUGGUCCCAUCCUUGAAUCUCUGUUCCCUCUGAAUUGACUCUGCUGGAGAUUAAAAUUUUGUUGUUCCCUUGGGAAAGGGGCAGCAAGAUUGUUUCUUAAAAGGUUCUACACCUCCAUCUCAUAGUUUAUCUGGAGCUGGGAGUGGCUGCCAGUCCAACACACAGGAGGCUAAGGUGGAAGGAUAGAGAGUUUGAGACCAACCUGAACUCCAGAAAAGACCAUAUCUCAAUGAAAAAGCAAUAAACAAAAAUAGUUUGCGAUGUCUUACAGUCUCUCUUUUCAUAGUAAUAUAUCCACUUAUGUAUUAGGAGUUGUAAAAAUGGUCAUGCUCCCCUGUCAGUUUUUUCUUCAUUUACUAGCUAUAGUAGAGAACACUCCCCUUUUCACCUCUUCAGCUACCAUCAGGAGAAACUGACACUGGAGAGGAUGAGUGUGUAAUUUUUAUUUCCUUUUACAGACUGGUUUGCCAAGUAAUGAGUUGUUUCCUGGUAUCUUCCAGAAGUAGUAAAGGAAUGAAAGAAUAGGGGGGCUGCGAAGAUGGUUCAGAGGUUAAGAGCUCUGGUUGCUCUUCCAGAGGUCCUGAGUUCAAUUACUAGCAACCACAUGGUAGCUCAUAACCAUCUCUAAUGAGAUCUGGUGCAGGCUUACAUGCAGGCAGAACACUGUACAUAUAUUAAGAAGGAAGAAAGAAAGAAAACUUUUUAAAAAAUGUCUUUGGUUUUACUUCAUUGUUAGUCUUACCAAGGUUAUGUUUUAAUAUUUUUAUGCAUUGGCAACAUUUAUUUCUGAUUAAAUUAUAUCUCUGGAUGUUGGAAGGAAAGGGGUAUCAGCUUGAGCACUUUCUACAGUACAGAAAUUCCUUCUGAAUGCUGCCUUGCUGGAGAUGGAGCUCAGUUUGUAAAGUGCUUGCUUAGCAUGUGCAAGCCCUGGGUUUGAUCUUUAGCACCAUAUAAAGCCAGGAUGCUGGUGCAUGCCUGGAGGAGCCAGGAGAAUCAUAAAUCCAGGAUUAUCCUUGGCUACAUACCAAGUUGAAGGCCAACGUGGGGUACACAAGACACUAUCACAUGCACAAAAAUCCCUUCAUCUGUGGCAAGGGACAUAUUCUACCUCAGUCAGACCUUGCUUUAAAAAAAAGUGCGUGCGUGCGUGGUGUGUGUGUGUGUGUGUGUGUGUGUGUGUGUGUGUGUGUGUGUGUGUGUGUGUGUAUGUUUCCUUGGAGGCCAGGAGCAGACAUUGGGAUGCCCUGGAGCUGGAGUUUCAGGUGGCUGUGAGCUGCCUGAUACGGGUGUGGGGAAUGGAACUCCAGUCAUCUACAAGAACAGGGAGUACACUUCACUGCUGUGCCACCUCCCUAGUCCCAGACCUCACAUCCUUCAGUGGGGUUAUUAUUAAUGACAACAGUCUUAGUAGUAAAGGAAAUGGUUGUUAGUUACAGUGGACAAAGAUAGAAAAUGUGCAAUAAAAGGGUUAAUCCAUUCUACGCCUAACUCAAAUUCAGCUAAGCAGUGUUUUUACCUGGCUUCCAGACCUUACCUCCCUCUCCUGUGCUGAAAACCCUGGUUCCAAGUCAUGCCAGUGUCGUUACAAAUUGGCUGUACUUUGCACUACUCAGAGCCUCAGAGUAAUCACAUAGACUGGUCAACAGUGAGACUAGUGAAAUGAGUUUGCCAUUUUCCUUUGUUUCUCAGGUAUUUCCUACAACAGGCUGUGUGUGGUCAGACUACCAACCAUUUAUGUGUGAGGUUCAGUCCUUUCAUUUUGCUUUACAUUUUAAUAAUUCUUUUUUCCACUGUGGUACUUUAUGAACACCAAAGUAUCUACAUGAUUGCAAAAUUAAAUCUAUAAAACAAAAUAUUGAUGAUAUACUGAGGUCUAACAUUCCCUCAUUCUCUUUUCCUAUAACUAAUCAUUUAAAAAUAUGAUUUAUUCUUUUCUUGUACCAGGUAUGGUGGUGCAUAUUGGGGGGUGUAGUCACACAGGUGCUUAUAAUUCCAGCAUCCAGAAGGCAGAGGCAGGAGGAUCAAGAGUUCCAAGUCAGCCUGGGCUACAUUUGAGGCUACUGGGUUAUGUGAAACCCUGUCUCAAAAAAAGUGACUCAUCUAUUCUACAUGAGAGCAUAUUUGUGUUCCGCAUCUUUCCCCUCAGUAAAGAAGAAUAUCCUAGAAAUACUUGUUUUUACUCAAUAAAAUGUGGCAAUAGGUCUGAGGUAUGGAUACAUGCAGUGCUAUCAUGAGUUUGGAUGCCAAGUACCAGCUUUAAAAGCAGAAGGUACACUCAAGAGCCAAUAAAACAUCAGUGCUAGUGGCAGGGGCCAGUAGAGGAUAUCUGAGGACUAGCUGGCUACCAGUUAUCCUGGCAUCAAAAUGAAGAACUCCAGGUUUGAUGAGAGACCCUGUCUCAAGUCAUUAAGGCAGAGGAAUAAAGAGGAUACCUACUGGCCACUUCCAGCACCCAUGCACACAUACCUAAACACAUUUUUUUAAGUUGACAGUUAUCAUUUGGUUGCAAAUGUUCAUUUGUGAUGUAGGCUCUGUUUCAAGAUGCUAAAUACAGCAGUUUUAGGGGUUUUGUAGGUCUGAACAUGGGGGCACAUGCCUGUAAUCCUAGCACCUAAGAGGCUGAUGCAAGAAUUCUAGGCUAGCCUGGGCUUCAUUGUGAGACUUUAUCUAAAACAACAACAAAAAAAGCUAUCUGCACAUUCAUGUGCCACAUCUGAUCUGUCAGGAUACGCCUCCAAAACCCAAGACCUCCAGGCUGGUGCAUAAGCCUGUAAUCCCAGGGUUUGCUUGAGAAGCUAAGGCAGGAGGAUCAUCAGUCCCAGGCAAGCCUAGGCUGCAUAGAGACCUGUCUCAAAAACAAAAACAAACCAACGCAAUAAAAUGAAGCCUGAUGGUUUCUCAUGCCUCCCCUCACACACAUGGUGUGCCCCAGGGUUAUUGCAAUGCCAUCUCCAGCUGCUGCCUAUCAUCUGCCCUUGGACCUCCCUGGUGUGUUUUCAGCUCUGCAGCUACCACUGCCCUUCAGACUAAGUCAAGUUAUGUCACUCCUACACUCAAAAGGCCCCACAAGAUAUGAGGGCCAAGUCCUUCCUAGGGCCCAGAUCCAUCCCCACUGGCUUUCGACUCCUGCAUUUCUAAGCUCUCUCCUACCUGUUUCCUCACCCACUACACUCCAGCCUGUGGUGAUAUUUUGUUUAUGAUCUAACAAAUAAAGCUUGCCCGAAGAUCAGAGUGCAAAGCUAACCACACUAGUCAGCCAUACAGGCCAGGCAGUGGUGGUGCACGCCUUUAAUCCCAGCACUAGAGAGGAAUAUAAGGUGGGUGGAGACAGGAAUGCAGUAUAUUCAGUCUGCAGUCACACUGAACACAGGUUCACCCAGCCUUGGUAGAGGUAAGAACUCUCUAGUGGCUGGCUGCUUUGCUUUUCUGAUCUUCAGCUUGAACCCCAGUAUCUUUCUCUGGGUUUUUGUUAUUCAGGCUAUACAAGCCCAUAGCUGCCCACUUUAGGGCCUUCAUGCUGCUGACCAUGAACUUCCUUCUAGAAUUCUCAGUUCCCACUCACAUCCUUAAGUACAGGAUCACUGGCACCUUCCCAUGGAGCAUUACUUUUCCUGCUCCUAACGUCUCAACUGCCUGUUCCCAUUCUUACCUCCCAUCAUGGUACGGGAAACUUACUCUCGAUACAUGAAUGUUCUCCACUAGAUUGGAACUUACACAAAGAUAGGAUCCCUCACCACGUUACUUCACUGAAGUGUCCCCACUGCCUGCACAGCAUAGGUGCUCCUUAAGUAUGGAGUAUAUGAAUGGAAACCACAGAAUAUGUGAUCCUUAAGUAUGGAGUAAGUGAAUGAAAAUUUUCUGAACUUCAACUGAAAAAAAUUACUAAACCAAGAGCCAGUGUUACAUGAUCAUUAAGAGCCCACAGGAGAAUAAGGCUCUCUCCCCACCAUCAGAGCAUGCCUCCUCCUCUCCCAUGUCCAGUGGCUCUGGAAGUGAGCAAUGCUGAGGGCCAGUGGCCCUUGGCUGCAUUCAAUCAGAGAACUGAAAGGUAAUAAUAAUGUCUACUGCUCAGUUGUUGUUCACUGUGUUCAUAUGAGUUCUACAGGGACUCACUAAAUCAUAUCCAUACAACAACCCAAUAAGGGUGGCAUGGUUUCCCAUUUUAGAGGUGAACUAACACAACAUAAACAUGUUGUCUUUAACUGCCUGUGGCUAAAUAUGUCAUAAGCGACCCAGCUGGAGCCAUAGUCCCAUAGGGUUCAUCUCUAGGAUGGGGCUUGGAUGAAGUGCUGUGCAGGACUUUGGGAGGUGGUAGGUAUGCUCCUUGUCUGUGGUGUUCAACUCAGUACCUCUAUCACAAGUGGAUACUCAACACUUUACAUGUAGCUAGUUGCCAUCAAUUCCACUUUAAUUACAUUUAAUUACUAGAGUCUUAACUAAUUUAUGUUUAAACAAGAACACAUGGCGGCUACAUUGGAAGUCUGUAGACAUGACUUGCAGAAUGGCAGAAUUUUUCAAGUCUUUACUAUAGUUGUUGUUGUUCAAACCCAAAGGUACAAUCUGUUUCCAGGAUUUCAAGAAAUGCUUGAACCCAUGAACCUCGAGUCCUCUAACAUGGUCAUCUAUAACUCAGGAAUUACACCACUCUAAUCUCAGACAAUGACACACUGGAAGACUGCUGCCCACAUACUCGUGUUCCUUUGUGUUGGAAGAAAUGAAGGCACAUAAUGUUCUAGCUUCAGUUUGUCCUUUUUUUAAGAGCAUAAUUGUGUAAAAUAAAAAUUGUUUAAUCCCCAGAGCUAGAGCAUGGCAUUGCUGAAAAUAGCCAGUUACAUUUUUAUUGAUUUUUAAACUAACUUGCUUUUUUAUUUUAGAAAUUGAAAAAAUAUAUAAAUUUAUUUUUUUAAUAAGGAGAAAGACCAGCCGGGCGGUGGUGGUGCACACCUUUAAUCCCAGCACUUGGGAGGCAGAGGCAGGCGGAUCUCUGUGUGUUCAAGACCAGCCUGGUCUACAAGAGCUAGUUCCAGGACAGUCUCCAAAGCACAGAGAAACCCUAUCUCAAAAAACAAAAAAGAAAAAAAGGGAGAAAGACCAGUAAGACAAAUUCUCAACACUCAGAAUUAAUCACUGAUAUAUUCUGGUGGAGAAACAAAAAAGAAAAAAAAGGGAGACAGACCAGUAAGACAAAUUCUCAACACUCAGAAUUAAUCACUGGUAUAUUCAGGUAUAUUCUUCCUUAUGUAUAUAUAAAAUGUGUGUGUGUGUGUGUGUGUGUGUGUGUGUGUGUGUGUGUGUGUGUGUAUUAUACAUGUGAUUGCAACUCAUUUAACAAAUUUAAUGUAAAUUUUUAGCUCUUGAAAGUUAUUAUUACCAACUAUUUAGGAUAAUAAGGAAAGACAGGUUAGCAAUUAGUCACUUAUUACAAUCGAACUUGUAGUCAUACUAGGUAGGUUUUCAAGGUCAAACAGAGAUAUAUUUUAGAUAGGUCAUCUUCGAACACUUCAGAUAUCUACAGAAUAUGGCAUUUAAGAUGUUUUAUUAACAUAGGUUCUUUUCUUUCUUAUGACAAUGAGGCAUGUCUGCUCCUGGCAGUACCAAUCCACAUCAGAGAAGAUGAUGAGAAUGGGAGAAACUCCACAUGGAGUUUACUUUCUUUGUGGGAAAAGUUAGCCACUGGGCAAGAAAGUGCCCUUGCCUCAACUGCUGACAGUAUGCUGUCCAAAUUGGACAAACAGGACCCAAAAGAAAGGACUGCCAAACAUUGCCAAGACAAGGUGGAACAGUUCUCCAAAAAUCCUGCAUCAUAGAAAAAUCUGUCAAAUAUUCUAGGCCUGAAGGCCAAAGAUGGAUGCCCCAACAUUACAGAGGAACUUUGGGUAACUGUCCAGGAAGUCGGCUGUUUCUAUCAUUUCUUGAAUUUUAGAGGUUGCUUGCUUGCACUUCUGCUUACUCAGUUAAUACUAUUUCCUUCUUAUGUCUCUGAGGGAGUUGAAGAUUAGAUAGUUAUUGUUAUAGUUUUUCUUGUUUACCAGACUCCGAAAAGAAACUCAAUAAAGAGGUAUAAAGUGUAUAAGGUUGAGGAACAUUCAAAGAUAACUUUGAUAAUGCAAAUUAGAAUAGAAAGUGAAUUAGGUACAACCUUUUGUACUCACCAAGAUAGAUAGAUAUGUAGUAUUUUCUCUGAAUUUGUCAAAUGCAAAUGAACUAGACAUUGUUGAUAUGUUUAUUGCCUGUAUAUAUUGUGUAUAGUUUUUGUAUAUAGUUUUUCUUAUAUUAGUUAUAAUCUUUUCUUAUUUUAGACAAAAAUGGGGAAAUGUGGUAGUAUUUUUUUGUGCUUUAACAAAUAAAGCUUGCCUAAAGAUCAGAGUGUGGAACUAGCCACUAGUUAGCCAUAGAGACCAGGCAGUGGUGGCUCACACCUUUAAUCCCAGCAUUUGGGAGGCCGAGGCAGACAGAUCUCUGUGAGUUCAAGGCCACCCUGGGUUACAGGAGAUUGAUCAGUCUAAAAGAGAAAUGGAGCUCACAUCUUCGAUCUUAGUAAUCACACCCCUUUAGUCCCAGCACUAGGUAGGUGGAGACAGGAGUGAUAAGACUGGAUGGAGAGAGGGAUAUAAGGCAGGAGGAGACUGGAGCUCAUGGCAUUCAGUCUGAGGAUUCAUAGGGACAGGAUCCCACUAGGUCUGAGGAUUCAGUAGAGGUAAGAACUAGUGGCUAGCUGUGCUACUUCUCUGAUCUUUCAGCAUUUAACCCCUAUAUCUGACUCUGAGUUUUUAUUAUUAAAACCAAUUAGAAUUUAAGCUACAAGUGAUAAUAAAUACAUUUUUUUCUUUUUACAAAAAGCACAUUAAGACAACUGCCCUCUGUUUGUGCCUCCAAAUACAAUGUCUUCCUUUAUUCCUGAGAAGUAGGCCACAUUGUAAACUUGGAGUAUAUGUUUCUAGCAUUUUCUAAAUAAUUCUUAUAUGCAUUUGCUAAGAAACAUACAGUGAGUGGGGCUUGAUAGUACAAGCCUAUAAAACCAUCACUCUGAGUAGGAGAACUGGGAGUUCAGAAUCAUCCUUGGCUGCUUACAAGUUCAAAGCCAGCCUGGGCUAAGGGAGACCCUGCCUCAAGAAAAAUAAGAAAAUAAAAUGGUAAUGUCUUUAUUAUGUGUGUGAAUGGCAACACUAUUUUUGUUUUAUGUGUUCACUCAUUUCUGAGCUCUACACAAAUAUACCACAUUUAAUUACCCACUCCUUUGUAAUGACUAUUUAGAGUGUGCCAGAUUUUUGUCCUUUAAUUAUGAUUAGAGACUAUAUCCUCCGGUGAAUCUGUACAGAUACUCCUCUGAAAAGAUAACUUUAGGAGCCAGGCAUUGGUGGCGCACUCCUUUAAUUCCAGCACUCGGGAAGCAGGGGCAGGUGGAUUUCUGUGAAUUGGAGGCCAGCCUGGUCUACAGAGCGAGUGCCAGUAUAGCCUCCAAAGCCACAGAGAAACCCUGUCUUGAAAAAAACCAUAAAUAAUAAUAAUAAUAAUAACAACAACAACAACGUUAGGGCACAUAAUAUAAUCAUCCUCUAUAAUACUGGGUACUAACAAAUAUUGCCCGUUGUGUGCUUUUUAGACACCCACCAAUGAGUGUAAGAAGCCUUCACCCUGCCUUCUACCAACACCAACAGUUCCUUCUGGACAACUGCAAAUAUUGACCUAGCUGACAUAGGUGACAUGUGAUUUCCAUUUAUGUGUCCCUAUUUAUUAAUGAGGUUCAUUGCUCUUCAUUGAGCAGCAGGACACCUGAGCUUUCAGAUCUUGUGAAAUCCUUGACUAUGUCACUACUCCUUGUGUACUGAGUGGUCUAUGUGAUUGAUUUGUGGGAUUCAAUAUAAUAAAUGAUCAGCCCUCUUGUUCACCAGCUAUACUGCAAAUGUUUACUCCCUAUUUUCAGCUGACUUUUAACCUUUUUGUGAAUUAUUUUGUCAUGGUGAAGUUUUAUAUUUAAGAAUUUCAUGGUAGCCUCUAAGACAUCUCUCAUUCUUGUUGAAUUGAUUACAAGUCUUUUGGAAUCUUCUAGAAGAAGUGAAACUAAUGUAUGGCUUCCUGAUUUAUUGGUUGAUUGCCAUUUCUGAAGGAAAGCUUUCCUCUUGCAUAUUUAUAGCAUUUCCUUAAGGAACAAAGUUCAUUUUUAUGUCAUUGUGAAAUGUUGUGCUAUGGAGGUAAUGAUUUUUUGAUAUCAAAUAAUAAAAUGUUGACAGUGGUAAAAGCCGUAUAAUAGAUUUUAAAGCAAGAAUUGAUUUUAGUUUCCAUUGCAUGCUCUUUGCAGUUGUUUGUUCAUGGCUCUUCUUAGAUUUUUUUAUAAGUUAUUGGGAUCUGGUAUCUAUAAUUACACUGAAAAUGAAUUUCAUGUUUAAAAGUGUUUUAAAUACCAUCUCUCUUCAGACUGAAAUUACAGCAGACUAGAGUUACUUCACCAAUGUUGAAUCCAAAAUCUGCUGCCUGCAACAUGGAAACUAGUAAACCACUUUAACUUGUUUGUUGGUUUCCUUAUCUGUAAGAUGGGCAGUGAUAGUGCAGACCUCAUGGGAUUGCUUCAGCAGUUAGAGGAACUGUGGCUUCUCAGAGCAUCCCAGUGCCCAGUACAGAGAGAGCACACCAGGGUCCACAGUGUUUGCCCAUCCAGUGUCUUUAGUUCUCAUAAGUACGAAGAAACGAAAAUAAUGCUCCCUGGAAAGUGCAUUUUAGUUAAGAUGCAGCUACCAUCACUGAUUGUCCCAUUGUGCUAUCAGUGAUUCAGGAAGUCAGCAUGGCUAGAUAUGGCUGAGCCAUACAUGGUUGUCUUUCACAGACAGAUUCACCACUGCAAAUUUCCAGCCACCUAAACCUAGUGCUUUCAAACACAGUAAGUGGAAAAUGAAGAAAAGCCCUGGGAAAGGUAGCUCUCUCUCUCUCUCUCUCUCUCUCUCUCUCUCUCUCUCUCUCUCUCUCUGUGUGUGUGUGUGUGUGUGUGUGUGUGUGUGUGUGUGUGUGUGUGUAAAGAGAGAGAGAGAUCUGAUCAAGAGAUCUCAAAUACAUGGCCCUUCCUCACUCAUAUGAUUGUAUGUAUUGUAUAGCUAGCUGAAUAAGAUGUGUUUGGCUUUACUUCUCCCUCUAGUCUACGAGAUCUGUGGAAUCCUAGGCAGUAUAUGCAUUUAGCCUCAGGCUGGUGGCCAUUCUUGUUGUUUCGUAACUUACAGCUAAUAAUGUAUAUAUAAUAUAUUCGUGAUACUAUGUAAUUAAACGACAGUAACAAAUGCAUUACUCCUAUGCUUAUUUUUUAGGGCUUAAAACAAUUUCAAAUCCAGUUUUUAUCAGCUUUUAAGUAUACUCUGCCCUAUCAUUUCAGUUCUGAUUCUGUGUAAUAAAACUGAAAGCAUUCCUCCUUGCUGAAACCUUGUGCCUCGUUCUCACUGCUCCCCUUUGUCUCUGCUCCACUACCCUGGCCUCUGGCUCCCACCAUUUUGCUCUACUUCUGAGUUCAGUUUUCGGUUGCCCAUGAACAAGAUCAUAUAGUACUUGCUUUUCUGUGCUUUAUUUAUACCACUUAACACAAUAUCCUCUAGGUUCAUCCAUUCGGUCACAAAAGACAGGAUUUCCUCCUUUAAAGGCUGAGUCAUGUUUUCCUUAUUCACUCACUUGUUGAUGGAUACAGAUUGCUUCUGUGCCUUGGUUCUUGUGAACAGUGCUGCAGUGGGCAUGUCAGUGUGACUGUCUCUUCGAUACACUGAUUUCCAUUCCUUAACAAAGAUAUGGAGUUGCUGAAUUUUUCAGUGUUAUUUUCCAUAAUGGCUAUAUUAGUUCAUAUUCACACCCUAGGCAAAGGCUCCCUUUACUACAACUUCACUAACAGUUGUGACCUUUCUUUGUGUAGUAACCAUUCUGAUAGAGAAAGGGGACCCUUAGCUAUUACCAAGCAUCUUGUCAUAUGAUUUGCCCAGUUCCUGGCUGGAGGGUACCUGGACCCUUGCAUGAGACUUCCAUUUUGGCAGCUCAGUCAAGUGUCAUAGUCAGGGAACCCUCCAUUCAACUUCUACUUCUGUUUUUUUUAACACUAAGGAAGAAGCCAUCAUUCAAGAUAGAGUUUUAGUUUACAUCUAAAGUAAUGCAAAAGGAGAAUGGUGAGAAUGAAGUCUUCCCCAAAAUGACUUUGACUACCACAGCUGUGUUAGGACAAAGACUAGCACACAUACAACAGGGCCCGAACCACCUUCUCCUUGUCUUGAUGGUCACUCGAAAGCAAGCACACCCUUUCCCCAGCUCCCCUCCUAUGCACUGGUGGCUGAGCUGAAAGCAGCACCCAUGAGACAACCACUCACUGUUUUGCCACUUCACAAUAUUUGCCUAGCCUGCCAAAUAAUAGCUGUAGGUAAUAGCCUAGCCUGUAAAGGAGCCAGCGAGCAGGUGGAGUGGGCCUGCCAUUGGGGCUGGCUGCCUUGUGGGCAGGGUAUAGCCCUGUUCUCCACCUGUGCAAGGCUGUGCAUCCUGUUUUCUUGCCAUCUUGGAAUUAACAGGACCUCAGCCAUUAAUGUGUGAGUGUUGGGAUGCUUCCCAGAGGGACUCCCUCUGAACUGACAUCUCUUUACAAUCCUGGGUAACAUGGGGCCUUUCUGUUAAAGGGAAGGCCAUGGCCAGUUUUCUGUAGGAACAGUAAAGCUGAGAAGACCUUCCUGAAGACAGAGAAAUAACAAAGGCCAGGGUCAGGGGCUCCAUUCUUUCUUACAGUAUGUAUUCUCCCCACCCCCAGCCCUGCUGUCUUGUCUACCCAGUCAUGAAGGAACUAGUCACUUAAGCAAGUUAACAGUACUUCAGAUCUCAAGAACCUCAAUUUUCAUUCUUAUCAGUGUCUUUUUAAAUGAAUAAUACAGUGACCUUCAGCUUUGUCCUCCUUUAUGGGAGGUUGAUUCACGGAGUCUGGUAUACUUUCUUAAAUUAAGGCAGCUGCUGUCUGUAUUCCGUUCAGCUCUAGCAUUAGUGUUGUCCCAAGUGUGACAUUUAUGCUCUUUCGCUUCUUCCUUAUAAAUAAAUAUCAAAGGAGGAGGACCAGUGUGAACUCCACAAGGAAUAAUAAACUACAAUAAUACACCAUUGAUUUUUGUGCAUGAUGUCUGAGUGUGUUUUUAUGAUUGUGUAUGUUUAUAGCUUUUUCACACAAGCAACAUGAAUUCUGGCCAAUUAAAAAGGACAUGAAUUUCAAGGCAUUUAGGAAGAAAAUCUGCUCUUAACGCUGUGCAUUUUAGAAAGUUGGAACUCCCGAUGAAAACUGUGGGUUUCAGACCUCCACCUUAAAAAGCAAGAGUUAUCGCCAUUUUGUAUUGUUUUGCAGUAUCUUACCCUGAGACUACAUUUGGGGACUGUAACAGUUUAAUCAGGGGCAGAUAAAGAGUCACUUACUCACUGUGUAUCCCCCUGUGAGUAACCUCCCACCAGGGUUCCCAGGCUGCAGCUUGAGUCCUUCUGAGUCCUUCGAGGUGGAGAGAGGGAGACAUGCACUCUUCCCCACACCCUACCUUCACCCCAUGAAACAGGGGAGCCCUACAGAGUUGGCAAGGACUGUGCAGUGGGUAGUCCCAUGUCAACAGCCUUCCAAAGAUGGCUUCGGGACAGUCAUUGUUCUUAGGAAUCCAUUGAGGUAAUAGACAGACCCUGUAACACUGGGCACUCUGUCCUUUCUGCCCUUCUUAGAGCACUUCUGCUGUUCCCUUCCACUCUCUGGUGUGUGAUUUAAAUUAUUCAAUAACACAUAAAUACCAACCCUUUGAAAAAUAACUAAAGCAUUACAGAGAACUUAGUCAUUUAGGCUCCUCCCCAGGACAAAUUCCUAUUCCUCUCCUGUCUCCACUAUCCUUCUCCCUUCUGGUGGUCACUGCAUCCUCAGACAUUUUUCAUACACUCCGGCACAGUGUGAAAAUCAAUAGCAACUAGACAGAACUGUUCUUAAAAGGCUCUACCCCGUUUAUCUGAAUACUCUGUGUGUGUCUCUCUGCACCUGGCUUUCUUCCUGCCUGCCGUGACAGUCUGCCCAGAUUUGCUUCAUUUGUGUCAGUUCCUAUGCUGAAGUUUGCUUAGCUUUUCUCCCACUUGGGGCUGUUUGCUCUCCCAGUGUCUGCUGUGAGGAACCCCUGAAGGCUGUGGCUUCCUUGGGCUCAGGAGUGUUUCUCUAGGUAUGUAGCCACUGGUAAAAGUGCUGGCUCAUAGAACAUGCAUAUCUUACCAUACAAGAAAGUGACAGCUGUGUUAAACUUCUCUCCAAAAUGGAGGUUUCCAUCUAUAUUCCCACCUGCAGGGAAUACAUUCCCACCUGUUUCCCCGAAUCCCAAACUCUUAAUAUUACUAGACACCAGAAUGUCUAUUCCUUUCAUAGGUGCCAGACAGCUUCUCAUUGCUUUAGUAUACAUUUCUCUUAUUACUAAGGAGAUUGAAAUACUUUUCACAUUUAUUGGCUGUUGGUAUUUCCUUCCUGUGGUGUGACUGUUCAAACAUUUUACCCAUUUUUCUAUUGGGAUGUUUGUCCUACUGAUCUACAGAAGUUAUGCUGUGUGAGUGUGUGUGUGUGUGUGUGUGUGUGUGUGUGUGUGUGUGUGUGUGUGUGUGUGUUGCAGUGUUUGUGGGAUGCCUGUGUGGUGUGAAGUGAGGGAAGUGGGGGUGUUGAUAUUUGUGCUGUGUGUAUACUGCAUUGUAAUCCUGUGUCUGCUUGGCAUGUCCUAACCUCCCAGAUCAUGUAUUGUGUUUUAAAUUCAUUUAUGGUAUCUUUUGGCCCAUUGUGUUUGAUCUAGGUUUAUGUUUCCCAAUCUUAUUCCUGUACCCAAAUUGCCUUGUGAACCCGUAUGACACAGUGAUCAUUUCAUGAGCAGCAUACAUGAGUGACCUUUCCAAGUGACUGUGCUCAUUUGAACCUUAGAACUCAGACUGGGCAGUGACGGUGCUGGGAGCAUCUCUUUUGCAGACGUGGAAUGUAUCUGUCAUCAGUACCCAUUUCCUCAGCACAGUGGCGGAACAGUCUUGGCAUUGUGUUAGACUUUCUCUGUUGUGACAGGUGAUAACUAAUAUGAACAGCUGAAGAGAAGAAUGUCCCUUUUCAUUAUUCCAGGGGAUUCAAUCCAUAGGCCUUUCAUUCUGGGCCUAUAGUGAGGCAGAACAUGGUGGCCACAGGAGCUUGUGGAGGAAAACAGCUCAAGAGUGAGGAAGGCAUAGAUCAGGUACCUUCUAAGGGCCGCCCCCAGUGGCCUACUUCCUUCAGUUAGGCCCUCACUUCCUAACAUUCCCAGAAUUUUCUCAACCACUACCAGCAGCUGGAGAACAGGUGGUGAGCACAUGAGUCUGAAGAAGACAUUUCACAUUCAAGCCACAAGAAGUGUCAAACUCCUCUGUCACUAGUGUGUCUCAGUUGCAGGCUGCAAGUCUGUAUGUAAAAAGGGUGUAUGGAAAUGAUGCAUGUAUUCAUUAUACAUAGGAGGGCGUGUGUGUGUGUGUGUGUGUGUGUGUGUGUGUGUGUGUGUGUGUGUGUGUGUAAGAAAAACCUAGCUCAGCAAUUUCCCUGCUGUCUACUUUGCAGAAAUUGCUCCAGACUCCCAGGGCUGUAUUCCAGGUUUUAUUGUACACUUUAAAUUGGGAUAUAUCUCAGCGGUUGCAUUUAAUUGGGUGAUUAUUAAAAACCAUGAGCAAGUUCAGUCUCUCACCCAGAAAAUGCUCAGGUGUCCAGUUUGAGUCAAACCACACUUCCCUCAUGUUCACUGUCCUGCUGGGGGCUGCAUGGGGCGGGUGAGCACAUAUAGAGCUGUGGGUGCCCAUGUCCCCACAUGACAGGGCUUGGAAACCACCCCAGCAAAGGCUGCUGUAAUGACAUAAUGACCCCCUCCCCCUCAGUGUUUGCUCCAGUGUCCCUAAAUUGCCUACUUCUAAUCAUAAAUUCACUUAAAGGGUAAGAUUAAUGCUUAUCACUGCCACAACAGAAAGCGGUUUCACAGUGGGCACAGAAGUGCUCACAAUUACAAGGGUGCCCUAACCUGAGGUCUGAGCAAGGGACCUUGUUUCAAAGGGAUAUUGAGUAACAAUGGGUGCUGUUAUGUAAUAGCCCACAGAAGGGCUCAGAAGAGAACUGUGAGAGGAAUCACUUGCUUCCUUGAGGACUUAGCCGUAUCAUCUAAAGCCAGUUUGGGAAUCCAGUCUCCCACACUUGAGAGCACAUGGCACAGACCAUGGAUGGAAUGUCUGUGGACUCAAGAAUCCUUGGAUUAGGGCUGGAGAGAUGGCUCAGAGGUUAAGAGCACUGGUUGCUCUUCCAAAGGUCCUGAGUUCAAUUCCCAGCAACCACAUGAUGGCUCACAACCAUCCAAAAUGAGAUCUGGUGCCCUCUUCUGGUCUGCAGGGACACAUGCAGACAGAACACUGUAUACUUCACAAAUAAAUAAAUCUUAACAAAAAAAAAAAAAAAGAAUUCUUGGUUUAGGAGUGAGUGCAUGGACAUUCCAAUCCCACAGAAUUGCCUGGCAAUUCUGACAUCAAGUUGUAUCUUCCCUCGUCAGCUUUGCAUUGCUCAUUCUGUGGUGAGGAAGAAAAACGACUUUAGCUUAUGUUUUCAGAGGCUCUGGUUCAUGGUCAGCCAGCUUCACUGCCUUCUCUCCUGUGGUGUGGUGAGGUGUCAUAGCUGGACACAUGGUACAGAUCAUUGACUCAUCUCAUGACCUCAGGGGAGGGCAGUGGAACCUAUCCAUGUUUGGAUUAUAGCUGAUACAAGCACUAAUGUGUAAUUUAGGCUGCCUGAGCAUGGGAAAAGUGCAGCAUCCAUUCUGUUUGCUUUAGGCUCUCAUGAAAGCAUGCACCUACUGUAUCUUUAAAGAAUUUUGACGUUACUUUCAACAGGUGAUGUAAGUAGGGAGGGUUUUUAGUUAUUGGCUUAUGCCCAGGCCUAUCUUCUUGUCCUCUGGUUACACUCCCAAAGACAAGCAGUUUUGCUUCUUUGUUUUUAACAUAAUUCUUUAUGAUUCUUUGGAAAUUUCACAUCAUGAACCCCAAUUCUGCUUACCUCCCAGUCCUCCCUGCAGUGGUCCCCCAAAACAAAAAAAAAUCUUAAAAAUCAAAACAAGCAAGCAAACACAAAGAGAAAAACAAAUGAACAGAAACAAAACAACAAGACAAACCUCUUCACUCCUCGAUCUUUCCUCUCCAGCACCUCUUCAUUCCUCCUGGUGGCAUUGGAAGCCUCAGUGUGUCACACAGUAUACUCUUGUCCAAUUAACUUUACUUGCAAAUGUUCAUUGCAGUGAGUCAAUGGUCUGGUUCAAGGCCUCUGGUUUCUGGUGCACUCUUAUCACUGGAUCCUCACUGAAACUCUUCUGGGCUAUCUCUUGGCCACCCCAAGUCAUGGAGAUUCUGCAGUUAUGGUUCCACAGGACCAGUCCCUUCAUGAGCUCCAGCAGGUCCUAGAUGGUGUUAGGGUGCCCACCCCAAGCCCAGCUGUGAGCCUGGGUAAUAGCUGAGCUGGUCAUUUCAGGCCACUAGGGCCCACCCUCAUUCAGGUGAGGGGCAGAGCCAGCUCUUCUACACCCAUGCAAAGGCAGGCAGUCUAAACCCAUUCUAUGUGCAGACCUCUGGUUUUUAGCUGUACAUAUCUAAACAAAAUGCUUAUUUUUAUUGAUAGUUUUCUACCUUUAAAUGUCUAGCAACAUUUUCUUGUGUCAGAUGGGAGCUUAUACAAUACCUCUUCCAUUCCUUCUCCAUCACUGUUUUUCCUGUGGAGACAUCUGAUGCCACUGCAGUCUCAACCCUUUGGAAGUGACAUGUUUGUUCUUGGGGGGACUUUGCAGAUAGAUCCACUGUGUAUUUCUAUGGCUCAGAAAUUUUACAAUGACAUGUAAAAUUUCAUACCUAACUUUUUGGGUGUUUUUUAAAUAACCUCUUUCACUAAGUUCUUGCUACUUGGUAUCUAUUGAUGUAUUAGAAGCAGGGAGAAGGCCCCACUGUCUUCUCACAGGUAUUUUUUCUGCCUCAAAAGCUACAUUUUUUUAACUUAAAGAUUGACUCACUCACUGCUUUUAGGCAAAUUGAUGAUGACAUACCUUGCUGGAACUUGCUUUCUAUCUGUUGUGCUUCAUGAAUCUGUGGUUUUAUUAUUUGGUCACAAUUGGAAUUUGGGGCCAUUAUUUUUUACCUCAAGGAGUUACCUCACAGCCCAUACUGCGCUCUGAUUUAUAAAAUCCACCUCCCCUUAUCUUUCAUUGUUAAUACUUUCUAUAACCAGAAGCAAGUUCUCUGAUGUUUCCUUCUGUAAUUGCCAGUGUAAUUUUUUAAUGUUAGAUAUUAUGGUCUUCGUCUCUAGUGAUUUAGCUUGGGUCUUUUGGUGUGUGUGUGUGUGCGUGCGUGCGUGCGUGCGUGUGUCCUGAGCAUGCAGAAUGCAAUGCAGUUAAAGCCUUUUGAGUGCUCACUGUGAUGAGCUGUGGUCCAUUCGGUUCAUUCCUCUUGCGUACCCACCUUCUCCUCCCUCACUUUGUGCAGUAAUUGUUUCAGUGGGUACUGAAAGCUGUUGUCCGUGUUUUGUUUUUGAAGACACCACUGCUUAUGGAAGCACUGUUAAUGCUCAGCUCACCCCUGUAAUUAUUUAGCUAAACAUAUUCUCUAAGUGGAGUUCUCUCAAGCGGUAGAAACCACAUCUCACUAAUUUGGGGAUCAUUGGAGUUCUGAAUCAGAGCUCAGUAGAUGUUUGUUGAGUAAAUAAGUGAGUGGUGCUGCCUUAUUGGUAAUGGAGACUACAGGUAAAUGUGUGUUUCCUGAAAUACGCAGAGAAGGGUAGUUUACCCUACAGAACAUCUUUCUUUCAGGCUGCAGCUCUUUGGGAACUGUUAACAUUAGCGCCUACCCUGCCUUUGUGGCAGGGAACACUUCACAAGAAUUCUGUCACGCCUUGUUCUGUUAGGAUCAGGAAUUUAUUCUUGGUGAUUUGUCCUAGUUGUUUUCUAAUCUGAUCUCAUGUGAAAAUUAUUGUAGAGUGAUAGAAAAAAAUGUCUUUCUGCCAUCUAUCCUUUUGUUUGAUUUUUGUGGAGUUUAGUUCUCAAACAGACCCUUAAGCUCCAAUGUAUAAUUAUAAAGAAAAUGGAUACAUUUUAAGGUUGAAGAAACUCAAAAGGUUGUAUCCUUCCCAAAAGCAUGUAGAAAUGAAUCAUAUGUUGACUUAAUCUUUCAAAGAUUCAGAAGUUGAGAAACUAUAAAGUCAAAAUAUGCCCCACCCCUGGCUUGGAAAGGCCGCAUCGCCAUAAAUUCGGGUGCCAUGGAGCCUGACUGCCCAGAUGCAGCCCUGCUCCUGCUAGCUGUGUGCUCUUGGGCAGGAAGCUCAAGCUCACCAAGCCUAGCUGUCCUGUCAUAACAGUGUGUCCUCGGAUUGCUAAGAUGGUAGAACUGGCUGUUGUGACAUGCUGUAACUGACCCUCUCCGUGGCUGAGUGCUGUAAGUGCUGCUGGGAGGUCGGAAUUCAGUCAGGUUACUUCAUCUUUCAGCAUUCUAUCCAGUCUUCACUUCCCAAGGAGGAAAACCCCCUUUAUAAACAUGUGUCACUGUAUUGUUAGUGGCAGUGCUAGUGUACUGUGUUGUUAGAAGCCCGUUGAGUGGCUAGGGAAAUGAAACCUUCCUGGCUGCCUUCGGGUCCUCAGUGCAGCAGUGGCACCACCUCCAUGCUGGUCUCACUGGGUCAUGGUCAGCAAAUGUCUACCCCUGUACUAGGAUCUCACUUUUAGUCAAAUCCUAUAAUUUUCUUCCACUCAACUUUAAAUUCUGCCUCCAAACUGCACUCUCCCCACUGCCAAAGGACUGCUAGAAAACUUGCUUUGGAACAGUCAUCUUAUGCUGGGGCUAUUUCCUGUGAUACUUUCGCACUGUUCAUACAGCUUACAACCUUAUUGAAUUCCUUUCCGACCUAACACCCCUAAUUUCUGUAGUAUUCCAGUUUCACAAACAUCUACCACUUAGAAGCAAACUUAACUUACCAUUCCUUUUCUAUUUUUCAGUCUGUCUGCUUUAUUAUUAGUGUUUGGACAUUUUUCCAUUUGACAUCAUCUGCCUGGGCUGUUGUCAUGCUCACGUUUCAUGGCUCAGCUGUUAAACCACUGAAAUGGCUUAGUCAACAGUGUAUGGCUGACUGUUUUGUAAAUAGAAGAGUUGGCUAAUGGGCUUUUGAAAUUUAUGUUGACUUAUUUUUUAAUUUAGUCAUUGUGUCAAAUAGUUUUAUGCCAACUUGACACAAGUUAGAGUCAUCUGGGAAGAGGGAACCUCAGUUGAGAAAGUAUCCCCAACUAAUUGGCCUGUGGACAAGCCUUUGGUGCAUUUUAUUGAUUGAUGGUUGAUGUGGGAGGGCCCAGCUCACCCUGGGCAGGUGGUUCCAAUUGUAUAAGAAAGCAGGGUGAGCAAGCCAUAGCAAGCUAGACAGUAAGCAGUGUUUCUCCAUGUUUUCUGCUUUGGUUCCUGCCUCCAGGUUCCUGCCUUGUGUUUUUGCUCUGAUUUUUCUUUAUGAUGGACUGCAAUUGGGACAUGUAAUUCUUCCCCGAGAUGCUUUUAGUCAUGGUAUUUUAUCACAGCAAUAGAAACCCAAAGUACAACAGUUGUCUUGAGCUAGAUGAUGCUGUUCGUGGGAGACUUUUAUGCACAUCCUAAUCUUAUGUCUGUUUCUAGCUGGGGGUUUGUCAGAUUCACAGGGAAAUGAGGCACAAGAGUCUAAAAUCCAGAUCUCAUUGUUACUUUUAGACUUACUCUCAAGAUAGACCAGUCCUGGGCCACAUCAGGAGAUGUGACAACUGUCAAAAGGGCAUCUGAGACACACAAAUACCCCACCUCCCACUGUGGAGAAUCAGGGCCCUGCAGGUGUCCAUGGCAGUGACUCUGUGGGUGUCUGAAGAGGUGGUUUCAGUUGUGCAGGCCACACUCCACCAAACAGCAGCUGAGUAAUAAAAAUGACUUUUUGUGAGAGUGAAGAUUAAAUAAAGGUACAUUGUGACCGGUCACAAUUUCUAAACAAAUCUCCCUGACUGAUUGGGGCCUGACAUUGCCAAAGCUUCUGCUAUUACUGAACAUGUGGGGAAAACAAGCUGAGACAAGCUGGAGGGGUUCUGGAAUGCUUGCUUUUGAGUUGCCAGUUCUCUCCAGAGUAUGGUGGCGUGGGUAAGCUGCUCCUAAGCUGAGCCCUACCAUGUCACCUUAUAGCCGCUGUUGUACUCAAGCCACACCAGCUCGCUGGCAAAACCAAGUCUACUAUUCGUGUGUAGUGGUGGGUUUUCUGACACUUUAGACAUUAUCUCUUGUAAGUCCUUAGCGAAAAGAAGUGGAGAAAGGAUGUCUCUUUUAAAUUUAGCAAAGAGCAUGUCUGUGCAUAUGUGCCCUGUCACAUCCACACUUAGGUGGUAAUGGAAAUACCAUGGAAAAGCAAACCAUAGGCUUUUAGCACCAUGGGCCUGGGCUUCCUUCUCAUCCCUCCUGGGGAGAUGGUUAGGAGAAUGAGCAGCUUCUUCAGUCUGAGUUGAUAAGCUCACUUACGGUAAAAUGUCAAUUCUUUUUUAGGCUCAGGAUCACACUGUAAUAAAUGUGAAUGUAAGCAGUUGUGUGAGUGCUUUCUAAGCGGUACUUCCAUCUACAAUCCAAUGGAGGAGGCAGUGCCAUUUGCAUGUUGUAUACUACUCAGUGUGGAGUCCAGAAGCCUUGCUUAGUGACCAGAGAGUCAAACGAAUUCAAUCUCCUGGAUCCCACAGUGACUUUCCCAGAUUAAGAGAGCAGGUGUCUUUAAAGUGGGUAUGAGAUAAGAAUUCCACAGCCUUGCUACCACAGACUGGACAUGCCUGAGGAAGCUAGUGUCUUUGACACUUGAAUAGGCUCUUGUUUUCAGAUGUUGUUCCUUUGUUGUCGAGGUAUGAGCCAUACCAGUUAAGACAUAUCCAGCCAAUUAUGGCAGAAUUUAUGUUUUUAAAAACAAUUGAUUAUCAAGAAAGUAUCAUGGAGGAAAAAUAUUGCAGAAAUAUAAAAAGGGUAUGGGGAGCUGAGGAAGCCCUGAAUGAAUGUGUGUUGUUGACAUGAGCACAGCCAUGACAAGGACCUGCUGGCCUUUUUCUGGUCUGAGUCCAAAUGUUGGCAGGGUAUGUAUAAACCAGCAACCACAGCUUCCUCCACCCCAGGGACCACAGCCUGAGACUGGUCACCUCUGAAGACCUCCAACUGAGACUCGCUAACUUCUCCCUGUGCUGUACAUAGCAAUGCAAAGAGGCUGCAGGUUACUGUGUAAUUGGUGCUGCUCCAGCAGAGCUUGGGCCACCUGAUCCCAGCUUGUCUGUGUCUGGAUAUUUGUCCUUUCUCACUUCCUCAUCCCCCCAGCCAGAUUUCCAGGACCAAGCCACGCAGGACAUAGCUGGUGAGUUCUGGUCACCUGGGCUUGAAUCCCAGCUCUGCUUCUCAAGCGGUGCCAGGCUAGCCACUCAACCUGUCUCUGCCCCAGCCUCCUCUCCUGUAAACAGGAGAGCUGAGGGAGGCUUGUUAAGAGAGUUCAUGCAUAUAGAAACAAUCUAUACUCAACACAAAAUAAAUUCCAGCUUGUGGAAUUUUUAUAUUUUAGGCAUUAAGAAAAUAUUUUUACAAAUGAAAUAUCAAAAGAGGUGGCAAUGCUGAGGAAUUCUUUGGCUUUAAAGGGUGAGUUCCAGUAUAGAAUGUUGCCCACCUGACAAUCAGAUGCCAUGGUAUAAGGGUGCUCCUGUUCAGACAUGUGCACUGCCGCUUGACCUGAGGAGGAUGCUUCAAGGUGCCAGAGUGUUUUUAAUUAUAAUAAAUUAAAUCCUCAUUCCUUCUUCCUGUCUUUGUCAGUGUGUUGCUUUCUCAUAUGCUGUGGUCUGUAAAUGUAUUUUUCUUCCUAAUUUGGCUCUGUUUUUAGAUCUAACUGUGAAUUCUUUAUUCUCUCACAUAGACAUAUGACAGUGGGGGAGGAGAGCAUGCAUAUUUCCUAAAUUUUCACAAGGAAUCUGUCUUACUGUCUCCAAAGAUCGGAACUUUAGCAAGGAGCACCCAGUAGUCUCAGCUCCCUUCAAACUGUAUUCAGUGGCACGUUCAAUAAGCCACACACACACACCAAUCAGACAUUUGUCAUGAGCACAGCAAAGGCUUCAAAAGUGUGAGAUAUAGUGGACUCAUGUACAGAGAGGAUUCCACAGCCUUGGGUGACUUUGAGAGCCAUCUUUGUUGAUACCUCACUCACAUUCACUGCAUUUUUGUCAUACAGGCUUGCAGAACCCUUUGUCUAUAGUGUGGCUAGGAGCCCCUAGGAAUCACUUCUCCAGGCAGCCCUAACCGCCACUGCCAGGGAGGUAAGUUUGAAUCCCAGCUCCCUUGCUGUGGAGCUCCAGUAUUCUGGGACAUGCAGUUUGGAGUUGCCCGGAGUUCCCUCAGUGAUCCAGCAGCAGCCUUCACUGCAUGACUGAUGUAAUGAGAUUCCCUUUAUUGCCUGGACACUUCCUGUUCCUGUCUCCUCAGUUCCCCCAGCGCCUUCCACAUCUCAUCCAACCUCUCACUUUAAGUGCUUGGUUCUAGAUUUCUUUUGGGGCUUCCAAAUCCAAGACAGUUUGUACAUGUCACAAAGCAGAAGUCUAAAUUUAGUUUUGCCAAAACCACUGUGCACCCUGAGUUGACAAGACACAUUUGGCAAACACCUAAGCAAACAUUCUGAGCUAAUCUCCUAAUGAAUGCAUGGCUAUUAGAAUGUAGUCCUUUAGAGGAGUGAACUAGGUCCAUAGCCAUGUGUUCCCUUCCUCAAUGCCCUCCUGCAGUACAGGAUAGCCAGUUCGAAUUCACGGAUGAAGAGGCUAGGAGCUCAGCGUAGUGUGCUGAGCACACUGAAUGUGUGCUUCUGAGCAUGGACAGGCCCCCGUGACUGCUCCUGCCUGCUCUAUCUCUUCUGGAUGGAGGGCAGGUUGGUAGUUGGUUGUUUGGUUUGGUUUGGUUUGAUUUCUUGAGACAGGGACUCACUCUGUAGUCCAGGAUUGGUCUGUAACUCAUUGUAUAUCUCAGGCAAACCUCAAACUCAUAGACCUCCUUCCUCAAGCCAGCUGAGUUCUGGGAUUACAAGUGUGAGCCACCACACUGAGCCGUCUCUUCUAUUUAUUGGAAUAGCAGACAAAAGCUUUGCUGUUUUCUAAUACCAACCUGAGUAAGCCAGCCACCAUUCCAGCCUAAAGAAGCACUUGCCCUCCCACAUUUCCCACUAAUGGGUAAAUUAAGUUUUACCAUAAAUUACCUUAAGAAAAAAAGGGUGCUCCUUGCAGCCUCUUUCAGCACACUACCCUGUCCCUAAGACCCAAGUGACACAUCCAGCUAGGCCACUGUCCUUUCUGUAUCUCCUUCCUUGCUUCACGUCAUCACCUUUGGAUGCUCUAACACACAGUGUAAUGGCGGAAGCUAUAUGACUCUAUCAGAGCAGAUUAGCUUCAGAAAAAAACUGCAAUCCUGAUAGAAGACAAUAUAUUUGAUUCCACACAAAUGGUGUCCUUUCUACUUCACUCAUAGGCAAUUCCUUAAGAGAGGUUUGAUUUUGUUUUUGAAACACACACAGUCUGUGGGAUGUAUAGCAGUUUGUGCUCAGCAACAAGAACUCAGACAAAGAAGCCAAGGCAAUGUUCUUAUUUACAGAGGUUGCCAUCUGAGAAAUUAAUGUCUACUGUUGCUCAGUAAUUAGGAAAAUUUAGGGCCCUAGUGCUCCAACAUCUUGCAUUUAAGGUUGUGUGUUAUCUGUGUUUUCAUGAGAAUUUGUUGGAUUUCUGUCAUUAAUAACAGGCAUAAACCCAGCAAGCAGCAGGACAUGCGUUACAUUUAAUCAAUUUGCUAUUUGUAUUCAUUAUGCAUGUCCUCCAUUUUGAGUCAUGAAAAAUUGAAAGGCCAUUGCAAAUAGAAAGAGCAUCAUGGAUUACAAAUGAUGUAACAAGAACAAAAGUGCUAUUAAUUGGUCAAUUGUGCUAGUCAGCCGAUUUAAGGUGAUUAAGGCAGAAAGAUUAGAAAGGACACGAAUGUGCUUGGGAACAGGAACCCAAGAGCACUGGGGACCCCUUCAAUCCUCAGUGCCCAGAAGAAUGCAACAAAACCGAAUGAUGUUUAUUCCAGUUUCAUUCAGCGAAUAAUGGCUGAGCACCUUCCAUGAGCCUUAGGCUAUGGUGAACACAGCAGAAAACAAUGUAAAACGCAGCCUAUGACCACAGGAUGACAUUCCAGUGUGUUCAGAACAGACAGGUGUACGGUGUGAUCCCCAUAAUGUAAGCCAGAAAACCCAACAGGAGGCCGGGGUGCAUAAAGUGUUGGGCUUGGGAGGUAUCUGAGAAGUAACAUCUAAAGGGAGGUUCAAGUGAAGAUCUGGGAUGAGAAGGUUUGGGCACAGUACCCAAGUCUCCUUCUCCCACUAAAGAAGGAAGAAGAAUUCUGUAUAGGUAGCUCCUGCAAUGUGGGAUGGCUUUACUUGGGAUUUCAGAUUUCACAGUGGUGAGAAAGGGAAGCACAAGGUAGAAAGUACUUUGGGUUUAAUCUUUUCUUGGGUUUGUUACAGGCCAGCCCUCCCACAUGAUUCUGGGCAGUAGCAGUGGCCCACAGCAUGGUCAGCCACAUAACCAUGAAGACACAUGAAUGUUCUGAGCCUUUUGGAUACAAGCUUUCAAUAAGUCCCACGAAAUACUCAACACUUUCCUAAAAGUAGGCUUUAUGUGGGACAACUUACCCCAGUGUUGGGCCAAUGAAGUUCUCAGAGCAUAGGUAAGACAGGAAUCAGGAGUCCUAUAGGGCAUUCUUGGGAAAUUCUUAACCUAUCCUAUUUUAUUGGGAUGUAACCCCAUCAUAAACUGACAUAUGAGGUUUUGGUUCUGUUUUGUUUACUUAUGGGACUGGGUGAAACACAACCCAAUGGAUGCCUUCCCAAGACAAGAAAGUUCACCCUAUCAGUUUUCUCAAGUGGACCCUUCUGUGGUAGCAAGUUGGUUUAAGUAAACUGAUGGCUGCAUUUACCACUGUAACCAUACCCUUCCACAAUCAACCAGGGUAUACAGAUGAGAGGAGACUGGAUUCUGCUUCUCAUUCACACUACCCUUUCCCCAGUUUUUGGGUUGUUCCACCUUCAGGCUCACCUUGCCCCUGCACCUGCACAUCUGCUGUCUGGGAUCCUUAAAAACCCACUCCUCAGGGAGCCCUUGCCACCAGGGCUACAUGCCCAGGUCCUCAGCCAACUUUGCUCUACUUACUGCAUCUUUACAGCCUGAGUUAGAUGCUGUCUGCUAACCUACUUCUCGGCAUCUUCCUCACUGCUGUCCAAGUGCCAUGAAUGCCAGUGUAUGUUGCUCAAGCUCAGUGUUGUGUCCACUCGCCUACAACAGUGCCCGCACCAUGGAGAGCCUCAAGAAGCUGGUGUGUAUGAAUGAAGGACCCUGUCAAAAGGAAGGCAUGGACUGCUGGUUUUCUGCUUUUGUUCUAAGAGCUAUUUAAAUGUUUCCAAGACCCACAUGGAAGAAAUGCAUGUUUAUUCUGGCCAGUGUUCUCUGUUGUGAUCAGGUGGCAUCACAGUACAAGCUAUGUACAUACAUUUCUAACCCCAUACUAUGCCUUCUCAACAUACUGAUUUCCUUCUACUGACUAAAGUGCGGUGGCACUGUCUUUAUAAGAUGAGGCAGACCCAAGUGAAGCAUGGUGAUUGAGUACCACAGCAGCCCUGCUGUAUAGACUGACAGUCUAGGACUCCUUGCUUUGUGCAGUGUCUGGGCGGUUCAACAGAAGGAAGUGGUAUAGUGUGAUGGUAUGGUACAGAGUUCCAAGUACUUUGCAGGUGUAUUCUGCAUCUGACUCACAGUGGACUCGUGAGGCUGUCUUGUGCUUGGCUCCAGAGCAGGUGCUAGAGACACCAGAUGGAGGAGGCCAUGCUGCUCAGCUGCUGGAAGUUGUUCCUGCACCCACCCAUACAUUAGAAUCAUUGGAACCAAGGCCCCACCUCAGGCCAGCUGAGUCAGGAUCUCUGGACAGGGACUUCACAUCUUCCCAGAAUGUUUUGAGUUCUAAGAUCUGCUCUUAGGAACCAGGUUGAGACCCACAGGUCUGUCAGAAGAAUGGCUAUGUAAUGACCAAAACUGAAAAGCAGCAGAAGGGUAACCAUAGUGGAUGACAGGUAUGAGUCCGCCAAGGUGACAUUUCUCCUUAGUGUGUAACUCCACCCAGAAAGAAAGUUUUCUAGUGCUCCAAGACUGCUUGUUCAGUAGGUAAAUGCUGCACUUGCCCACCACCCACCCCAAAGAACUGAUUGCACAGCAUUCGGUAAACAAUUGUUUUCCCUAUAUGGGGCCCAAUGAGGGAUCUUGGUUUUCUUAUACACCAAGUAUUUAAUGUUGGACACUUAAUCAAACAAACAAUUUUUAUUAAGAUAUAGUCUCCCUAAUUAGGGAAGCAAGUGGGUCAAUGGUGUGGCCAUCAAAAAGAAGGGCUCAGCUUGCACUUCGUAGCUGUUUUGAAGACACAGGACAUCUGAAUGUCAGUGAAAGCACUCUGAAACUCUACACCUAGACUGUCUGCACCUUGGGGAAGUUCAGACCUGGUGUAAGGUACAUUUUUCUGUGUAAUAACUGAAUUUAUGUUAUUUGGUUGACAGUGACUUGAUUGGAACACCGAGCUAGGGUCCCAAGAAGACCUUCUCAAUACAGGUGGCUCCCAAGGAAGCCCUUCCAGGUAGUGGCUCUGGAGGCCAGGCUCCUCCCUACAAAGUACAGUUCUGCAUGCACAGCUGUGUGCAUGCUGCAGUCACCCAGAGCUUGAAACAUGCCUGUGCCUAAGAUGCUCAGGCAGAAAGGUGCCGAGCACAGGUCUGUCUCUGGAAGAACUCUGGAGUAAUAUCACAUGAAGCCAGGCUGGGAAGUGCCAAUGCACUCAGGUGAGUAAUUGAAGGAGGUAAGGAGGGAAGUCACUCUGGUAGCACAUACCCCAAACCGCAGGUCUCCACACAUCCACACAUCAGCAAAGGGCGAGGACUCCUAAGGGAGCCUCAGUGGAAAAGAUGAGUCCAUGUCCCAGAAAACACCCAAUCCCUCUGUUUACUUCAUGAUUCCUGGCCCUGCAGAAAACACACAGAACAGGACCAAGUAUCCAGGGGGUAGAGACUUCAUGUUUCUACACGCACGUGGCUCCGGUCCCUCCUAGAGUGAGAAACUGCUUGGAAAUAAAUGCUCAAGAGUCAGAAGCUAACCAAAGUGGGCCUGUGCAGGUGGACCCUGAAUGCACCUGGAAAGGUGCUUGAGAGCUUCGAGGCAGCACAUGCUGGGGUCUGGGUUUCACUGCAAAGUCCCAUGAAGCCUUCUGUUUGUCCCCAAACCACUUGUGUGAUGUCACACCUCCCUCUUCUCCGGAGCUCCUGGAACAGCAAUGACAGCUGGGAGGACACCCAGAAGCUCACAUUGACCUGGGAUAGCUAUUGAGCAGAAAUUACAUGGCAAGCUGAGAUGGAGGUGUAGAGGGUGAUGCUUGAAUUCUGAGUGGUUAGCCUCUCACAACCCUGAGCUCUGUGCCCAGUGCACUGAGAAGCUGUCUGUAGGCAAUGACACACCACACAAAGAGGCUGAGAGUAUGUGCAUGGAGCAGAUCAAAGGUACUGUGGUCUGGUAGGACAGAUCAUGUUUGCUCCAAAGCCAAACAUGAAUCCAAAGUCCAUCAACUGCCAUCUGGGCAGAGUGGCAAGAGGCCUUCUACCCCGCCCUUCUCCCAUAAGUCCACUGUCUGUCUAAGCCAUCCUCUUCCUUGGUGUCACUGCCUUGUUUCCACUCGUCUUUAUUUCUCAUUACCACCAGAGUGGAAGUCUAGAAGGUGAGGAGGAAGUAUGAGUAAGGAAAUGGAGCAAGGAGGCCACUUCAUUCUUAACUGUGCAUGAGAGAAGCAGGUGCUCAGAAACCAGAUAGCUUCUGUUUUAGGGGCCUGGGAAUGGGAGAUGGCCUCAAGUGUGCUCUCGGAUGGCUGCUCCCAGCCACUGGCCUUCCUUCCACCUACCAUGGAAACAGGGUGUGCAGUAGCCCUAACAUCAUGUCCUUAUGUAGUCAUAUUGGAAAGUCACAGGGUGCAACCAGCAUCUCUGUACCCUCCUCUAGUCACUGAAGAAGUUUCCAAGACCGCCUUGUCCUGUCUUUGCAACAAAGGAGGGGAUUAGCCACAAUGUGAUACCUUCCUGUGUAGCUAUAUGUAGGGGAAGCUGUAGCCACGCCUACUUAGGGGCUGGCUACAGGUGUGCCUACAGCUAUAGGGCAAGCUGUGGGACUGGAUGUGUUUUAGUCUCUGUCUGCCAUCCUGCUAAAGGAAGUUCUUCUCCAGCUAGCCCUCUACCUCUCCCUCUCCCUCUCCCUCUCCCUCUCCCUCUCCCUCUCCCUCUCCCUAGCCUGUUGCCUGCCCCAGACCUGUGGAGGAUCUAUCACUGGGUUUUGCCCUUGCCCUUGCCCUUGCCCUUGCCCUUGCCCUUGCCCUUGCCCUUGCCCUUGCCCUUGCCCUUGGUGGUAAUUCCUUUUCUUAUCACUGUGACAAAAUACCUGAAAUAAAGAAUUUAAAUGUGUAAAGAUUUCUCUUGGAUCCUGGUUUUGGGGGUGUCAGUACUUCAUGAUGAGGGGUGUGGUGAAGCAGAGCAGUUUGCGUUGUGGUAGACUGGAAACUAGAAAGAGGGCAUUCAGGAAGGAUUCCCCAGUGACCUGCUUCCUGUCUCCAGACAUCAUCUCCUACUUCCCACCACCUCCCAAUAACACCAUCAUGUUAGGACCCCUCCUGUUCUAAUCGCCUCUGGAUAUUCUUCACACACACAUAGGCAUGCCCCACUAGUGCCCUGCACAUCUGUCUAUCCAGUCAGGUAGACAAGAUUAACGAUCACCAUGCCUGAGGGAUGCUUCAGCUAGCUGUUAAAAAUCACACAAGUGUGAGGGCUUGAGUUUAAUCCCCAGAUCCUAGGAGAAGCAGGAGGAGGAAGAAGAGGGAAGAAGCAUCAGCUACACAUAUCUACAACCCUUGCACUGAGGAGGAGGAGACAGAAGGGUCCCUGAGGCUCCUGCCCUGCCACUCUUCAAAAAUUAGUGGGUUUCAGGGGUGGUGAGAAAUCCUGUCUAUGAAGUUGAGAGUGAAUGAAAACCUGGCAUGAACACAUACACAUGAGUCAUACAUGUGUAAGAGCCAAAGUUACCUUUUAAGUUUUAAUUACUAUGCCUAAGGGAUCUGUGAAACAAAGUAUCUCUGGUCUGCAAGCCCCUUGCACAAGGACAGGUAGUUCCUGAAAUACUGGAGGCUAUUGUUUCUGGGAGGUAACAAGUCACAUGUUUCACUACCCUAAACAAGUUUGACCCAUCUGCAAUGGAUAUGCUUAAUGGGCCGGAGGUUCACAGGCAAGAAAUACAUCUGGAUGUAUUCUUGCCCCUGACUGGACCUGAUGGGAAAUGCAAUGAAUUAUGGAUUUUCCUUUUAAGCUACUACAACCCGUGGUUUGAGGCCACUUCCCAGCAACCAAGAUAUGGACCUGGCCAGAGCCCAUCCACCUGGCCAGUAUUUAAUUAAAGUUUGCUUCAAAUUUGGCUUUAAAUUGUGGUAGUAGUUUCAUCCUUGGUUGGUGGGAUUAACAUAUGCACAUAGAUACACAGAUUAACCAUCGUUCCUUUAGACUGUAGACUGAGUUCAGGUUCCAGAGGGAAAUAAGGGGGCUAUGGAGGAUGUUCUGGUUAGGUUUCCAUUGCUGUGAUAAACACAAUGGCCAGAGCAACUUGGGAAGGAAAUGGUUUGUUUGAUCUUACAGCUCUCAGGUCACACUCCAUCACUGAGUGAGGUCAAGGCAGGAACUGAAGCAAAAGUGGAGUGCUGCCUGAUCCUCGUGUCUUGCUCGGCCUAUUGAUUGCUUUAAAAGGUGAUUUACCUAUUUUAUUUUCUGUGUAUGCAUGUUUGGCCAACACGUACGCCUGUGCAUCAUAUGCAUGUAGUGCCCAAAGAGGCCAAGAGAAGGAGGCAUCAGAUUCUUCCCUGUAAUUGAACUCACAAAGGGUUGUGAGCCACCAUGUGGGUUCUGGGACUUGAACCUAAGUCUUCAGGGAGAGCAGCCAAUGUUCUUAACUGCUGGGGCUCUCCAGUCCCUUGCUCUUCUUUCUUAUACAACCCAGGACCACCUGUUCACAGUGACUGGGCCCUCUCACAUCAAUCAUGAAUCAAGAAAAUGCUCCCCAGAUUUGCCUGCAGAUCAGUGUGAUGGGGGUGAUUUUUAAAUUGAGGUCCUCUCUUCACAGAUGACCCUAGCUUGUGUUAAGUUGACAUAAAAACUAGCAGCUCAGAGGAACCUACAGAAGGCCACCAGCUCUCCCUCUUUGAGAGAGGAACCUACAGAGAGGCACCAGCUCUAAGAGAGAGGAACCUAUAGAAGGCCACUGCUCUCUCUCUAAGAGAGAGAAGAACCUACAGAAGGCCACUGGCUCUCUAAGGAGCGCUGCUUGUUCUGACCCAUUGGAGCAUUUUAACAUUUGUUGUUUAUUCCUACAUAGCAUGUGUCUCCUAAAAAUGAAGAUAUUCUUAUGCCUGACACCCCCAAACAAAUAUUAAUUCAACAAUAUCACCCAAUGAGGGACUUUUUGCUUACAGGAACUUUCCUGUUAGUCCCAGCAUUCACUUGUGCUUUGAAGCUGACAGGACACUUUGAUCUAAACCCACAGGAGCCCUCAGACAACUGUUGAUAGUGCCUUCUUCUAGGUAGGAAAAUAGGAGCCAGAAGGUAAGUGAUCCAUCGAGGUCACACAACCAGUGAGCAACAAAGGCAAUCCCAGGCCACAUAACCACUGUGACAUUACAGUUUAUUCUAAACAAUAUUUGUUCAAAACUUAGACCCCAAACACUUAACACCCCACACACAUACACAGUGUCUGUUCUUCCCAAAAUCAUGAACCCUUUUUCAGCUUCACACGGUAACCACCUAGAUGUGGUUAGUGAUCUGCCUUGGCCUCUGCUGCAGAACACUGCCAGGCAACCCACUUGGACAUUGCACUUAAUUUAAGCCAAUGUGAUUGAUUGCAAGGUCUUUCUUAACUGUAUUAUGCUCGAUUCCUACUCCAUUCCCUGAACCCAGAGUGACUUCCCUCUACAAAGACUGGAAUGCAUGCUCCUUGCUGAGGAAAACUGGUCUAUUUGCUCAGUAAGGGAGUAGGACGGGACCAAGGACUGUUAUUGAAGCCCAGCAAUAGCAGAAUGCCUAGCUGUCCCCAGCCACUGUGUCUACAGCCCAAGAUCUCUCAGACUUAGCCACUUCUCUGCUUCUGCUGCAGUCCAAGCUACUUUCCUGUCUGAACUGUAGCAGCAACCCUGAUCUGGCUGGAUGUGUGAUCUGGCUGGAUCACAGACAGGGUAUGUAGCCAUAGAGUAGUGACAAGAGGAAGUGGAUGAGGCAGAAGGUAGACAGGGCACAGAGCUCCCCAUCAGCUGCAAUCACCGUCUCCCUUAGGAGCAAAGUGCCAGUGGCAUUGGGUAUCACUGGUUUGGCUACCUCUAGAACUGCAGGAUAGUCCACCCCUACCCAUAGGUCCCAGGUACACUUCACAGACCCAAAGGUCCUUCCAGUACCCCCCCCAAGGUGUCUCAAGAAGGAAUGGGGUGCUUUCUCGGGUCAGUGAGGCAAAAGCAAUUUCGGGGGGGGGUGUCAGGGACUUCUAGGAACAAUAUCCCAGAUUUAAAGAGAAAGCCACAGAAAGGCUGGCCUCUUCCUCAGAGUGUUGUCCAGAUGUAAUGUAACCUAUGGGCAAGCCAUACCAUAUUCCAAUGAACAAAUGGCUCUUGUCUGAGGAGCUGGAGCAGCCAGCCCUGGAACUCCCUAACUUCCUAUCCAUGUGAGAUGGGGGACCCAACUGGACACAGGUCAGUCAGAUCUACUUCCAUUUCUAUGGCAUUCCUGUCUCUCCCUCUGUGCCUGCCAUGUAGUAGGUGUGCCAUAUUUAUGGAAUGAGUAGUGUGUCCGUGCCCCUGGUAGCAAAUCUGGUAAUGAGGCUUUAUGUGUCAUAUGAAGGGAAUGUUCCAGGGGACAAAAAUAAGGGAGUGGGUGAGAGAGCAAAGCACUGGAGCUGAGCUGUUCUCUCCACCCUCAUCCUGUCUAUGGCUAAGGGGGAGCUACCAGGGAACACCAACACCCAGGCCCUUCCUUGGAGCAGCUCGAGAUUAGUGGUGCUGGCAGAAAUGUAUACAGAAGUGAUGGCAGGCAAUCAGCAAGGACCUGGGUGGGGCACCAGCACUGUGGGUCAUACAGUGUGUGUCUGUUAAUGCAACUGACUAUCUUAGUUAGGAUUUCUACUGCUGUGGUGAAAGACCAGGACCAAAAGCAACUUGGGUAGGAAAGGGUUUAUUUCACAUUACAGCUUAUAAGUCCAUCACUGAGGGGAGCAAGGGCAGAAACCUAUAGCAGAAGCCAUGGAGGAACGAUGCUAUCUACUGGCUUUCUUCUCGUGGUGUGCCCAUCCUGCUUUCUUACACCACCCAUGACCACUUGCCCAGAGGUGGCACCACCCACAGUUAGCUGGGCCCUCCCACAUCAAUCAUCAGCCAAGAAAAUGGCCCAGUUUUGUGGGGGCAUUUUCUCAUUGGGGGAUCCUUCUUCCUAACUGACUCUAGCUAGUGUUAAGGUGACAUAAAAAACAAGUUAGCACAGCAUCCAACAGACAGCAAAGCCAAGUGUGGUCUGCUGUCACCUCCACCCUAUCCUUCUUUGAACCAUGCGGAGAGGGGGGUGCUGCCUGCUCAGGCUGGCCAGCCAAGAGGAGUUAGCCUCAUAUUGACAUGCAAAAAGACAGUUUGCAUAUAAAAAACAUUAUUGCACUUCACUAUGCAUGUCCAGAUUCUUCUUGCAAAACAUUGAAAUCUAGCUCAUAAUUUGAUGAUAAAAUAUUGAUUAUUUAUCUACAGCUGCAUCCAAAGGUUAAUAGCACGUAGACAGGAUGCCCACCCUGCAUUACCUUGUAUUUUAAGUCAAAUAUGAAGAUAGAUAUUCUACCCUUGAGAUGAAUUUUGAUAAAAUACUUGUGUCAAUAAAAAGACACUAAUGUCAGAGUGUGUCAGUUCCUAUGGUUAGUCCAGAUUCUGCCUCUCCACACACCAGCUGGUUCCAAGAGAAGCCUCCAAACUCUGGCAGCUCAUGGUCAGUCUAUGUUUCUCUUCAUUUAAGUCAUGUGGAUGGAAAAUGCCAGGGGAAGGGUGGGUUGGCAAGGAGCUGCGUCCACUCCCACACUCCAGAUGAGAGGGAAUGGAAACAAAAGCAAAGGCAACUUACAAACGAAACUGGGAGAAGCCUCACUGCCAUCCUUAGCAAUGUGCUUAUCUUCUGUUUCCAAUAAGAAAGAGCAGUGUGGACAACUCUGGACUGUGAGCAUCCACUGUGCUUGCCUGUUUAGCAGGUAUUGCCACCCCGAAGCUCAGGUCAUACCACUUUUAAAACCUCUGUAUUUUUAUUUUUUUGACUGUUCUAAAUUGUAUAUUGGGUAUCCAUUUUACAAACAUUACCUGUAUUCGUGGUAACAGUGGAGCUAGGGAGUAUUGCACCUUCUCCAGGCCACACGGUGAGAGCCACCAAUAGUGUAGUGGAACUUGCAGCCCUUUCCAAGGCCAGGGCUCUUGGGGCCAGCAGAUGUCGGCCCACACAUAUCCAUGUUUGUGGACUGGCCUGGUGAUUGAUUGCGAGUCAGGAUUUCUUCUGCUUUAGCUUUAUGGGAUAGAUCACUUCCUUCUCUACCAGAAAGUGAAACACAGACACUCAGAGGUCUUUAGCUUCCUUCACUGGUACAUGUCCAAUGUCUGAAUGCUGAAUUAAUUUACCUAUCUGCUUCAUUCAUCCGUCCCACAAAUUGAGCUAUGACUAUGCAGUAGGACUCUGAGAUUUACCAGUGAAUCAAACAGGUAUUCGGGUGGGUUUUGAAGAAAUAGCAGUAGUGAAUAAGUGCUGACUAGAGCGAGUUAGUCAGUAACUUCACUAAAAGCAAAUGAUAUAAGAAAGCUGAAAAUUGCAGUUUUAAAGAGAGAAGGUAAAUGUGGGCCAAACCCUGUGAGAGGUGGAGAACAACACAGCAGCUGUGGAGGAGAGGGAAGGUAUUUCCAGGCACUUGCAGGAGCCAGUGCCAGCAUCCUAAGGCAGGAAUGGGUCUGGCUUAUUUGAGGGAGAAUGAGUAACUGGGAUGCAGUGAGUUGAAUGUUCAUGAUUAACUUAGGAGAAUGUGUCUAAGUUCAGGGGUACCCUUACCCCACCCCUAUCACAUGGAGAGUCUCUAGAAAGAGCAGACUAAGAAAAGACAGAACCCUGGAAGCCUAGAUGCAACCAACAGAAAUGACGCAAAAUCCAGGAUUUUUCAGGUAACAAAUUCACUUGUAACUGUCAGUGUCCUGAUGUAAUACAAACUCCAGGCCUGGGACACUUGAGGGGUUUCAUGCAUAGUGGGGACAAAAAGACUCCCAAGUUGGCUAAUUCUGGGGCCCUGGGAAAUCUAGCCCUGGGGCAAAGUCUGGAAUCCAUCUAUGCAACGGCAGCCUACAGAGCUGGCAGGUGAGAAGGAACCUUUCAAAUUUGCAAUUUUCAAGUGUCAGAAUGAUACUGUGCGGCUCCUCUGAUGCCUGGCAUGGGAAGCAGGUCUUCCUGGUUUCCAUCAACACGUCUGCUGUGUGAGUGUGGCCUUUGAACUCUCACCAUCCAGACCCUGAGACUGAGAACGCCAGCUCCAAUGCCAGCUUCCACAGCACCCCGCCACACCAACCUAAGGACAAGCCCAAAAGUCUGCACGGUAUUUCUAGAAGAUUCUAUUCAAAUCAGAGGCCUUACCAGCAUCAAGGUGCUGGAGAGAAAGAAACACACAGGCUGCCCUCUGAAAGGCAAGCAGUGUAGCAAGCAGGCAUCUCUGUAAUUUACCUGUACAUGGUGGGCUCCAUGCUAGCAAGACACUAGGUGCAGGGCCCAGACUCCCCACUUAGGAAAGAUGAACAUUUGCCUGUAGCAUCUGUGUGUGAGCCAUAAAAGACCCUCAUUGUGUGAUACUUUUGAUUCAAGAAUAUCCAAGAUGAGCAGACUGUAGCUUGUGGAGAGAUUUGUCUGGGAAGGCAAAGGUCAUACAAUGGAAAAAACUUUCCCAAGGAUGACUUCUGCAAUUUCUAAGUGCCACUAGGAAAUAGUCAGGUAUUGCAACAAAGAGGCACAGUGAGUGUCAGCAAGAUAGGGAUAGGUAGGACUCAAGAGCAGGAAGGAGCCACCCUAGCAAAGGGAUUAGGGCUGUAUAUGCUCAAGAGGUAACAGCUGGGCAAAGCUAAGGACCAGAAUACAGGCUCAGUGUGGAGCUCAGUGAGCAAUGGGGAGAGUGAUGGGCAGUGGGGACCAGGUCAUUCUGUGCCCUGCCUGCCAUGGCCAGGAGCUGGAGUUUCUAUCCUGAGGCUGUUCAUAUUGCCACAGUGUCUCCCACGAGGUGUUAACGGUUCCUACCUUGGCAGGCCAUUGAGUGGAGACAAAUACACUUGCAGUGGCAAUAAAGUUGCUCAACAGAAGAGCAAUGGAACCUAUUUAGUUUUGAUUGGUUAAUUGACUGAGAGACAGGGUCUUACUAUGUAGCAGAGGCUGGCCUCAAAUUCACAAUCCUCCUAUCUCAGCCCCCUAAACUCUGGGAUUAUAGGUUUUCUUUAGAAAGCCUAUGAGUAAAUGUAGCACUGGCAUAUAAACAAAAGGUCCUAACAAAGGAGACCUGCAAAACACAGGUGAACAGGCAUGAAGGGGAGCAUCAGGCUCUGGGUAGUGAGUGGCCAUGGUGGAGCUACUUGGAGGCAGUGGGACCAACCACAGGGCUUUAGACUGGGUAUGGGGAAGAAGCUGGUGUGUCAAGAGGAGAUUUAAAUUUACCGGCCAAUCUGGACCCACAAGGCUACUGUAGUUUGGUUCUAGGAUGCCCCACACAGAAGCAUGCCCUGAAAGCGUAAGCCUAAAGAUGAUGAUGCUGAGAAGUGUACAGUUGUGCUCCACAGCCACAGGCCCAGAGCCACAAGACCACUCCAUCAUGGACUGGGAGGGCCAGGACCCUGAGCCAAAAGAAACCACUUCUCUUUGUGCUUUGCUUAACAACCUGAGACACUUCCUUCUAGUACAUGGCUCCAUUCACUCUGCUCUUGAGAAAUGGUGGGGCUGUGGCAGCCAGCUGGCUGUAAGAGGGGGAAUGCCCCCGGUUUACCACAAACUGUGAGUCCUAGCCCAGCCUCUGCCAUGUGUACACAAAGGAAGCCUACUUCUUAAUGGCAUAGAUAAGGACAAGGGUACAGAAGUAACUAUGAAAGUCAGGUGUGCCCUUUGUCCACUCAGCUCAUAAAUCAGGGAGAAGAAGGGCCCUCAAACCCCCUUAAGAUAAGAGCAAGCCCUCCACAGCUGGCUGGCAGACGUGGAGCAGGGCAGGGCACACACAGGACAGGCCCUCUCCAGCCAACUCCUGGGCUCUUUGGGUUGGUUUCCUGAACAGAGAGGACAAGAUAAGUUACAUGCCUGGAGAUGCAGUCAAGAGAAUUGGUCCUGGGCUCUUGAUGGCAUUGGUUCAAAUCCAGCUCUAGUUUUGCUGCAUGACCUUGGGCCAUUCACACAACUUCUCAGAGCUGUGUCCUCAUCAGUGAUAGGAAGCUGGUGGCAACUUCAGCCAGGGCCUGGAUCCCAUGUACACUAGUUCCUACUGGCUCAUUUUAACUAAAAUGAUGGCCACUACUGUGCUCCUCUCUGGGCAAUCCUCCAAAGACCUCCUUCCCACAUGAAAUAGAGCUGACCUGGGCACUGGUGACAGGGGUGAUUUCCAAGGCUUGGUCAUAAAGAUCCUGUGACUUCUUUUCUGUCUGGGUGACUCAAUGAGGGAAGCAGGUGGCAUGGCAUGAGGACAUGGCAGCCACCCUGGACAGAGUUCACAUGCCUCCUGCUCAUGGACAGCCAGCACUAAUGACCAUGGUGAAGGGUAUCUUCUUGCCCCACUCACUGAAUGACAGCAGCCCAAGGAACAUGGUAUCUGCAUGCUCUCAAGGCAGCUGGAAUCAGAGCCACCCCUGCUACAGUCCUAAACUUGCUCAAAGGCUUGGAUGUCCAUCAUACUGUCUCUCAAGACCUUGGUGUCAGCUUACCUGUUAGAUGUCAGGAGAUCAUUAUUCCAAGCAUGUCUCACUUUGAGGUGGUCACUUCUCAGAUAGCAUCCAUGAGACCUCCUCCCCUCCAGCAUAUGCACACAGACUGUCUGUGAAGCCCCACAGAGGCCAGUUGUUUGUCGAAACCUUGUCUUCAAAUCUCUGUGCAGCUCACUAGUGGAAUCCCAGCUCCUGAGAGGCUGAAGCUAGAGAAUCACUGUGAAUUCUGGGCAGCCUGAGGUACAUAGUAAGCUCCAUAUCAACCUGGGCUAUAGAGUGAGACCUGUCUCAAAAAACACAACAAAUGCUAUCUGCAGAAGCCUCCUCCCUGGACACUUGGGAUGUUGCCCCUUCAGGAAGCCCCCCAGACCUGGUCAGAGAUCCUUCCUCCACAUGAUCACAGACGUUCUCUCUGCUGUCCCUUCCUGGGAGACUCACCAUGUGGCCUCAGAGUGCCAGGAGUGCCAGAGUCAAUCAUGUUUCCACCUAUGCCUUGGCUACUAGGAGGCUCAGUUCCACUAUAGAUGAGACUGCCAGGGCUUUGCGGUUGGGAAGACUUCAACACCAACCUAAUCGUCACUCUCCGUCAGGUUAGCCGGUGUCAGUCUGACCUCAUUUUACCUCCCUGAUCUUCCUCAUCUACCCUGUUUUGUCCAUUUGUGUGUUCUUACCUGAGUUGCAAGAAAUCCUUGGUGAAAUGAGGCAGCAUUAAGCUCACCCUCACUAGCAGUCUGGGACAUCGUCAGAGAUGGUGAGUGUAGGAUACAGACUCCUUUUACACUCUUGCAUCCCUUUGACCCCUCCCACCCCACUUCCCCACAGUGACAGCAUUCUGUCAGCAGGUAAGAUGUGUGGAGUGAAUGCCCUCAGGAGGUGUCUGGGCCCCAUCACACCAUCACAGUUAUCGGUAGCUGUGGCCAUCAUCCAGAUCCACAUGUUUUUCGGGAAGGGGCUCAGCAACCUUCGGAAGAAGCCUGCCUUGCUCACCUAAUGCUGUGCUAGAUGGCCUGUCUAAGGCUCAACCACACCAAGGGUGCAGACUCAACUGCCACUACCUCCAAGACAGGAAAGAAGCACACUGACUUAGAAUCACAGACAAGAUAAGCACUAUCUAAAAACAAGAAUCUGAGCCAGAAGGGAGUUCUGAAACCUCCGGGAGCUUGCAUCACCGUAAGAAGUGAGUGUCAUCAGGACUAGCCCACUAACUGCCUACCUAUCUCUAGCUUUCUGCCCAGCAAACACCUUUGAUGUCCACUAGCUUCCCGUAUCAAGAGUGGUAAGGGUGAGCAUAUGAGCAGAAAGAUGCCAAUGAACUGUUUCCCUUGGCACUUUUUUCAUUAAAAAGCCAAACUUCCAGUUUUAGAUACAUUUUCGAGCGCGUGUUCACGCACACUCGUGCACACACACACUGACUCUUUUACUCCAGGUCACCAUCUUGGCGAAGGAAUGCAGAUUUUGGGUUCCAGCUCCUGGGUGUGGAUUGAGCCAAACACGAGGCAAGGUCUCUGGGGUUUCAUUCCACCCCUUUAGGCACCUCAAAUUCCUAGGUCACAGUGAGCAAGCUCCCAAGAUCCAUUCAAAGAAAUGACUCCUAAGCUGGGUGGCACACAUCUUGGAAAGCUAAAGAAGGGUGGUAAACUUAAGGCCAGCUAAACAACAUAACAACCCCCACCCCACCCCCAAAAUACAGAAAGAGUUUCUGUCCCAGGGUUCAUAGGAAUAACAUCAGAGUCUGUAAAUUUAUGGCAAAAAUUAAAAAACCUAAGGGAACCCACACAUUAGCAGGCAGUGGGACCACAUGGACUAACAAAAGCACAGAUUUUCCUAUUAAACUAAUAAGCUUAAUGCUGUUUUUAUUGCACAAUCACUUCUAACUAUAUCUUAUUAAUUAAACUGGAGGGUCUGAAUUGUUACCCCUUGGUAAGUACACUGUGUCUUGUUAACAGAAGGUUUUCAAAGGAGAACAGCAAUGAGUGGUAAGAAGCCUAACCCUUUAUCCUCCAGAGCUUGGAACCACCAAGCCACCACCCCUGUGUAGAGAAACAAGGGACAGAGUCACACUUUCUCAAGCCUGGAAUGGCUCUGAAACUAUUUUAGAAUAUUGUGCAACCUCUUGUUGCCUGUAAUAGAAGUAUAAGGAUCAAUCUUUUAGAGUCUGCUUUUUUUCUUAAUUCACUCAAACCAUGAAUGAGAGUCUGCCCCCUAAAGUCAGUAUUAUGCCCUAGUAUGAAGUUGUCAGCUUUUUCAUGUGCUAAAUGAGGGGUGGAGAGGAAGAAGAGGUUCCCUGUGAAAAGGGAGGAGAGGGUUACAAAAACACACCGAUCCUAUCAAUGCUUUCUCCUUACUUGGUUGUGACAACAGUCCAGUGGUAAAGUGAUUUUUAUCCUUUUACAACAAAAUUAUUGUUUGGAAAGGUUAAGAGGUUCACCAAGAGAACGUAGCGCUUAGACAUAAAGCCGGGACUACAGCUGCAUUCAGCACCAUAGACAGAGGCAGGUGACGGGCGAAGCGAAGAGAGUGGACGGAAGUGCUGGAUCUCUGGCAAGAAAAGGGAACUCGAGUGAGGGGGUAGACACAUUGCCAUAACUUACUCUGCCUGCAUCACCCUGGGCUCUUUAGAAUAGCUUUUGUCCUCCCAUUCAGAGGGUAUGCAGUGCCAUUCCCAGACUGCCACCCAGAGUUUGUCUAAGAUGUAGAUGAACAGAUACAAGGAAAAGUUAUUUAUCUAAAAUCCAUCAAAACCCACUCUUGGAAACAACAGUGAUAGGCAAAGCCCUGGAGUUUGGUGUGUAGCAGAUGGAUGCUUGUUUUUCAUGUGCAGAGCCUCAAGCAGGACUCCUUGCUUUUAAGAAUGAUGGAGCUUCCUUUCUCCUUGUGGUUGGCCACCUUCUGACUUGACUUCUAUAGCUUCUGUUUGCCACAUCGAUCCAGAGGAGCAAACUCAUAAACAAACCCUCAGAGAGAUUUUCCUGAGCUGAGCCUGGAGAGGCACAUGUUACCUCUGUUCAGAUACCACUGUUCAGAACCCAGUUCUCUGAAUAUAUAGAUACAGACCUAGAGAGAACAGAUGAUACAUAGGUAGGUAGGUAGGUAGGUAGAUAGAUAGAUAGAUAGAUAGAUAGAUAGAUAGAUAGAUAGAUAGAUAGAUAUAGGUAGAUGAUAGUUAUAUGUAGGUCAGUCUUUACAUUGCUGGGGGUUCUAAUUCAGCCAUCUGGCCCAGGCCUGAGGAUGUUUUAAAAUUAUUUUUAUUUUAUGUGUAUAGAUGUCUCACCCGCAUGUAUGUCUGUGCACCAUGUUCAUGCCUGGUGCCUGGUGCCUACAGAUGUCAGAAGAGGGUGUUGGGUCCCCUGGAACUUCAGUUACAGAUGGUUGUGAGCCACCAUGUGGGUGCUGGAUAUCACACCCCUCUCCCAGAUCCACUCCUCCUCUGUUUCCCUUAUGCUGCAACCCUUUAGUACAGUUCCUCAUGUUGUGGUGACCCCCCAACAAUAAAACUGUUUUUGUUGCUAUUUCAUAACUGUAAUUUUGCUACCAUUGCGAAUCAUGAUAUAAAUAAAUAUCUUUGUUUUCCUGUGGUCUUAGAUGACCCAUUCACAGGGUCAUGACCCACAAGCUGAGAAACACUGCUCUGGAAAGAAGCAGGCUAGAGUCAGCAGCACUCCUCAGCUUUACUUAACACAGCCCUGUUUGUUCGUAGCAUCCUGUUUCCCAAGACAUGGAUUUAUGAAUUGUCCUCCUGGGAGCUGUGUCCUUGGAGAAUCUAUGCAAAUGGUGGUGACUGAGUUCCUGCUGCUGUGAAGAGGUUGGGUGUCAGGAAUCUUAAGAGUUCCCGGGGAGGUGACAGUUAGGAUUUUAGCAGAAAGCAUUCUCUUGUCCUGAAUUAGAACAAAUGAAGUGUCAGUGUUUUUUGCAAAGCUGGUGGCAUCUCAGGGUGUCUGGGAACUGUGAAGUGCUAGACAGAGGGGCACUGAAGCUUGCAUGCCUUGGGCUAAGUCUCUGCUCUGAUAUUCAGAAGCUGUGCAGCCCUGAGCAUCUCUCUUGUUCCUUCUGAGCUUUCUCCUCCGCGGAGGAUGAGCCAAGACCAGGUGGGGAAUGAGCAGUGUCUGGGAAGUGGAAGUGUCCACCCAGUGGCUGAGACAAAUGUUGCUCUUGGCUUCUCCUUCUACCUCAUAGCCUAUCCCAUAGGGCUUUGCUGGUGGUCUGGAAACCUCUGGAGGGUGCUGCCCCCCUCUCCUCUGCCCUCUUGUGGCAGCUGAGAUGGUAGCAUGGUUCCAUGAUUCCUUCCCAUCUACACCAGAUUCUUUUGCAUCUUUCUGAGGACAUUGUCACUCUCAGCACCUUGGACCAGCAAGCAAUAUGGAAACAGAUGCAGAGGCCCCUCUGUUUGCUAACACUCACAGACUGUCCUUCAGGUCACCCUCUGUGAUAUGUCACCAAGGGGGAGCCAGUCCUCGAAUGCCUGUUCUGUCAGAGUCAGCUCUUGCCUGCAUCUGUCACUGCUGAUUGCAUUUGAAUGGCUUCGUCUCUUUUUUAAAUAAAAGAUUUAUGCCUUAGCUGUCAGAGCUUGCCUUUAUUUGAAAAUUUAACCUUGUUUCUAGGAGUCUAGAUUAACUUAUUAGAUUUAGGCAUCCCUCUCAUGGUUCUGGAAGAGAGGCAGAGCCUGCUCUCCACUCAGGCCUCUGCAAGCCUCCUUGUCAGCAGCCAAGGUGGAAGAGGCGACAUCUCAGUGUGCUUGGGACUCUGCUUCUGUAGUAGGGCUUUCUGGGUCCCCUGGGCCAGCUUCCAGACCUCAGCUCCAGAACCCAGGUUUCCUGAAAGAGCUGUGCAUCAAACCCACCCUUCCUCCAGCUUUAUUGAAGGGACACCACCAUUCAGGUGAGGGCUAUUUCAGGGAGUCCCCCCAUCUAUGUCUCCUAUCUCUGGAGAAUUCUGCUCUGCUAUGCCACAGGGUUGGGUCUCACCUUUGCUUCCUGCUAUGUGAGUUUGUGCAGGCCUCAAAUCUCUGAGUCUGAGUGACAGUAGUGUUGUUAAUCCCUCUCAUAGGCACUUAGCAAGAGUCUGCUCCCUGCCACUACACAGAGCAGGCUGCAGGAUGGAUCAAAAGGUCCUUCUGCUCACAGUUCUGGGGACAGAUGUCCCAAAGCUUGACAUGGACAUUUAGAAAUGACCCCCAGCAGCACUUGUAAGAAGAGGUGGAAGAGGCUCCUGUACAAUAGACAAUGUACCAUAAUACAUCCAUCCUGAGAGUUAAAGAAUGUAAGACCUAAUCACCUCUCACUGGCCCCAUAGUCAACACUGUCACAAGGGAGUGAAAUUUCUGCGUGAGUCUUUAGGAAAGAAAGGUAGAGCCACGGUUUGGGGGGUGGGGUGGAGCAUAUCCUGAGGGCUGUUCUUGAUACUUUGGUCACUAGGUCAGCCAAGUGGUGGAGGGUGGAGCAGGACUCUCUUUGGAAUGAGAAAAUAGCAACAAGAGGAGCAGUGAGUCCCAAGGUCACAACACAGUCUGGACUAAGCUCUGGAAGUUCAGCACCAGAACUGGGCUGUCCCGGUCCAGCCCCCUUCUCUCGCGCCUAGGUCAUGGUUGAGCUGUGUCUGCCUUUCUUAGGUGCAAGCCCCAGCUCUUGAGACCAGUGUUUACUUGCAGGGGGUCUUUGGGAAGUCGGACAGGUUAAGGGGGUUGUAGAAUCUGCCCUUGACCAUGUCUCAGGAAAGGUGCGAAGCAGGUAUCACUGGCCCUGGGCAACUGCCUCGGAGCUGUGAAGAGCUGCCUGCAGUGUGCAACACCCUGCCCACUGGUCCACCACCUUUGUGGCCGCUGCAGCCCAGGGGUGCUCUCCCGGUCUGAGUCUCCCAUUUCUUUUCCAGCGCCUGCAGCCUUGACUUUCUCGCUGCACUCUCGCCAUCUGCUGGUCAAUUGCGGAAUAGUAUCAAAUAAGCACAGGACAGUUUCCUCCUCUAGACCAGCCCUAGCAAGGACUGCGCCUUCAGCUCGUGCGCGCGCGCGCACACACACACACACACACACACACACACAAGCACCACUGUGCACUAGCAGGGUCACAUGCGCACAUGCACGCGCACACAGGUUUAAUACAGGUAACGUGCACAGACAGUCACACACGCACAUGUACACACAUGGACGCAAACACGCAAGCACGCGGCCAAGGUGUGAACUGAAUAGUCUUGACUUGCUUCUUACGACUUCCUCCAGCCACUCAUCCCCAGAACCCUGAGUUUCUGACCUGAAUAUUCGCCUCGGGCUUGAACGUCUUAAACUCUGGCCACAGUCUAUGAGUCUCAUCUGCCCUGCUCACAAUGGGAGAUGGACUCUGUUUUGUCGCUUGGAUGGGAGACCACGCUUCCCUUCUAGUCUGGUUCACCAGGCUGAUGGGCCGACAGGCGGCGAUCAAGAGCAGCCUCUGGUCUCAGAACAACCUUAGAGCCCGCGCCUGUGGAGCUCGACUGCAUUCUGAGUCAGGACGCACUUCUUGUUUUGUCGCUUAGUAAAAUAACUCCAAGGAAAGGAAGAUACAUAAUUGUCCCCAUACUUUAUCAGUUUGGGCCUCGAGAGGAGUUGAGAGGAUUGCAGACCAACAGUCAGGCUGGGGUUAGGGUAAGAGCAUGUAAAGGGACACCGAAUGGAUCAUGCAGGCUCUGUCAAGGCUCAUAGUGUCCUUACUGACCCCAUCUUGUUUUGAAAUGUGGUAUUUUGUAGACCUCGGACUUACUUGCAUUGUUUCUUAUUUUUAAAAGAUGGCAUUAAUAAAAACGGGGGCUAAACAGAUCAUUUAAACACCCACGCUUAUAGCACCAUUAGUCACAGUGGCUGAAAGUAGAAGAAACUGCCCACCGAGAAAGGAAGCAUGGUAUAAGAUACAAUGGUGUAUUUGUUCAGGCCUGGAAAGAAAAUUCUAACACAUUGCAGCAAGAUGAACCCUGACACUGUGACACUGUCACAAAAGACAAAAACCAAGUCUGAUUCCACCUGCCAUAGUUUGGAUCUGGAGUGACCCCUGGAGGCCCAUUUAUUAAAUGGGUAGUGGCCAAACUGUGUUGCUGUUGAAGGUGGCGGAGCCUUAUGAGGUGAAGAGUAUGGACUGGGUGUUUUGCGACAGAGUUCAGUUAAGAGAGAUGAAGUCUUUGGAUGGUGG
ensembl:lncRNA